rnacentral:lncRNA from 1 species
GGGAGGGGAUAAAAGCAUCUUUCAUCUUAGAAAUAAGCUUAGCAGUUAGCAUUAACCUUUAUAUUUUGAUUACGUCUUAAACUUCAUCUACAAAAUCUGGUAAACAGAAAGACCUAAUCCAUAAUGCUAAAGAGGAAAAGACCAAGUCAGAUUCCUUUAUUCAAACAGGUUAGUAUCACAGCUCCAAAAGGAAAAAACUUACGGAUCUCUACGACGAAUUCCUUGAAUGAUGUAGCAGCAUCUGAUGCUUGAAACACGGUUUCAUUUAUGUUGUGAAAAAUAAGAUCGAUAAAUAAAACUUUUGGCUACAAUUAGCCACAGAAACAUAAAGUUGUGACAGGAAAAUAAAAGCUAACAGAUAAUUAACUAUACAGUUUGUAGGCAAAAUACCAAAUAGCCCAUAAUCAAGAUCACAACUCAAGCAGACAAUAAUGUGUAGUUUAUCAUUUCCAACCAAAUAAUUCAAUAAUACAUAAGGUCAAAUGGCCAAAUAAUAUGGCCUUUCACAUAAAUACUUGCUCCCUGAAUAUUUUGAACGAUAAUGUUAUCGUUUCUCUCCCACGUUUCACGAAGGUGUUGGAAUUUUUUGUCCUAAAACUCGUAGUUUGUAAAUCAUAUUCUGUUCAAUAAAGUUGUUAUUGAGAAAUUAAAUAUUAUAAUCUUAAAUCCAAUAAAUCAAGUUCCAAGACUAUUUUUGAAUAAACUUGAACUUUAUGUGUAAACAUAAACGUGGAUCAAGUUCGAGUAUAUAGCCUAAAUAGUCUAUAGUAUAUGAAAUAAAGGUUGGGCGCCUUAUUUAGAGAAACUAUGGAUGCGGCCCACUUUGUAGUACAAACGAGGUGAUCCUAAUCGUUCAUGUAGAGACAUGAAAGUGGGGACAUCCUAUGUAAAAUGUUUACAUAAGACUGAAUCAUGAAUUAGUCUUUUUUACGUUAUAACACCGUUUAUUGUUUAAAAUUGACUAUCUCAAUUAUUGAUGACCUUGGUAACUUAGUCUUAAUCCUGAGUUAACUAUGAAUUCCUGAUCACACGAGAUUAUCCUUAGAUCUGCAUAGGUGACGGUAGCUCAUCAGCGUUGGCCCAAAAGCCUCCCAUUUCAGGGGUAAGAUCGGGUGGAUAGCUGGGCACAUAGGGUACAAGAUGAAAUUCACUCCUACCCGCUUUAGGGUUAGUAAAUAGGUUGUUCUCUUAAGCACUGAAUCCAAGUCUUGAACAAGGGGCCCCACCCUCUCAUUGGCCCGAGAGGGAUUAAGUUUAUAGGUUCAACCUUAAACCAAUUGUUCAAUAGUGGAUUAGUGGGACUUAAGGAGGAAGAUGUAAUCUUGGGGGUAAAACGGUAUUUUGACCCAGCCAAGGUUACGAGCAACCUGUGAAGGAUUAACUUACUGAUUAUGGUUUUAUCAAAUGGACACAAAUAUAUCUAUAGUGAGGGGAGUGCAACUACGGGACUUUAGUGGAAUGACCCGUUAGUUAACGAAUGUUGAUUAACUCGGUUUAAAAGAGUUUAGCUAGUUAAUCUUGAAUCGUUUGAGCCCAUGAUCUAUAGGUCCAUUAGGUUCCUCUGCUAGCUCAUAUGGAUUAAACUUAGAACAGUGUGAUGAAAUAAGUCGAAUUGUUCGAAUUGGGAGAAGAAAGGGAAACCGACAAAUAUAGUGAUAUAGUCGUCGGUCUUCUAAUUAGAAAUAGAGCUUUAUGUUUUACAUACUAUAAGUAUGAAUGCGGAUUCAUACUAAGAAGCUCGGAAUUGAAGAAAUUGGUCAAAAAUAGUAAAAAGUCAAAAUAGUAAACUUUUGGCUUUGAAAAGUCAAACUUUGAUCGGCCUUAUAUUCAAAUGUAAUUUGAAUUUUGGAAAAAUGAAUGCGGAUUCAUGCUCGGGAGGUUAGAAUUAGUCAAGAUGGACAAAAUGAUAAAAGUCAAAAUAUUGACUUUUGACUAAGAAAAGUCAAAGUUUGACUUUUGACUAGAAAUAUCUAAUGACCAUUUUACCCUUGGACUAAGUUAGUGGGAAAAUCCAACAUUUUGUUGGAUAAUCCCACUAACUCUUAGUGGGAUAUGUGGCUAUAUGAGAUAUAGACACCUAGCCCACUAAGUUCCACUAAUUGUUAGUGGAACAUUAGGUGUUGAGAUUUGGCCAAUGAAUUGCAUGCAUUUUUGCAUGUAAUUAGGUUAUAAAUAGAGGUGUUUUCAAAUGUUGAAGGACUUUUGCCUCUUUUAUCAUUUUCAUCAUCUCAACCAAAGAAAAAAAAGGAAACCUUUCAAUCCCAUUUUAUCUCCAUUACUUUCUACACCAAAAUUGGGUCCCACAACCCGAUUCUUUGUCUAGAGGAUAGCAGUUGAGUACUAGUGGUGGUCUCGGUUAUAAUUGGUAAGAAGAUAUCAAACUUUUUUGAAAGCUUCAAAGUUAAUAUUUUCUAAAACCCUAAUUUGAUUAGUUUAUGGUUACAUGUUAAUUGUGGCAAUUAGGGUAGAAAUUCGAUUCUUUUUCUGCUGUGCAUAACUUAGUUCUAUCAAAAGGUACUUUAAGGUUUAGUGUUUAGAAUUUCAUGUGUCGGGGUUUUGGGGUUUUGGUGUUGGGAGUUUAGAGGUUUGGAGGCUGGGAGGUUGGAAGGUUUGAGGGGUUGGGGGUUGGGUUUAGUGGUCUCGGGGUUUUAGGGUUUGGGGGUUGAGGGUUGGGUUUAGGGGUUCUGGGUUUCGUUCGAGGUUUUGGGGUUUGGGGGUUGGGGGUUUGGGAGUUGGGGAUUGGAAGGUUUGGCAGUUGGGUUUAGGGGUUUUGGGUUUCGAGGUUCCAAGGUUUGUGGUUUUAGGGUUUUCGAUUUCGAGUUUAGGGUUCGAGGUUCAAGGUGCGAGGUACGAGGUUCAUGAUUCGAGAUUUGGAGUUAAGGGUACUUUAGGGUUUAGUGUUUAGGAUUUUAGGUUUGGAUUUCAGGAUUGGGGUUUGGGGUUCGGAGUUUGUGGUUUGGGGUACUUUGGGGUUUAUGGAUUAGGGGUUAAAGUUUAGGAUUUAUGGUUUACGGUUUUAGGUUUUUGAGGGUUUAAGGUUUAAGGUUUAAGGUGCAUGGAUCGGUUCGGGGUUCGUGAUUUCAAGAUUCGAGGUGUAGCGUUUGGAAUUUCAGGGUUUAGGGUUUAAGAUUUAGGUUAGAGUUAUAGGGUUGUGUGUUAUUAGAUUCUGAGACGAUGACCAAUAAUAAUCAAAGUUUGAUACCCAUAAUAAGAAGCUCAAUUUUUCAAACGAAUCGACAAUACAAAAUGAAUAGAUAUUCCUUAAAUAAUAGAAAUUGUUAUCUCCACCAGCAAAGUUUGGAGUUAGGAUUACAUGUUUCGAAUUUCGAGUUUCAGGGUUUUGGGGUUUUGGGGUUGGGGGUUGGGGUUUUGGAGGUUUAGGGGUUAGGGGUUAGGGGUUGGAAGGUUUGAGGGGUUGGGGGUUGGGUUUCGAGGUUCAGGCUUUUUGAGGUUUCGACGUUUUGGGGUUUUGGGGGUUGGGGGUUUAGGGUUUGGGGGAUGGGAGGUUGGAAGGUUUGGGGUUUGGGUUUAGGGGUUUUGGUUUCGAGGUUCAAACAUUUUAAGGUUUUGAGGUUUGUGGUUUUGGGGUUAUAGGUUUCGAAGUUCGAGGUUUGACAUUCGAGGUUCGAAUUUCAGGGUUCGGGUUUAGGGUUUGGGGUUAGAGGUUAAGGGUACUUUAGGGUUUAGUGUUUAGGAUUUUGGGUUUGGAUUUCGAGAUUGGGGAUUGGGGUUUGGGGUUUACGGUUUAGAGUUAAGUUAAAGUUUAGGAUUUAUGGUUUUAGGGGUUUAGGGUUUAGGGUACAUGGAUCGGUUCGGAGUUCGUGAUUUCAAGAUUCGGGGUGGAGCGUUUGGGGUUUCAUAGUCUAAGGUUUAGGUUAGAGUUAAAGGGUUGUGUGUUAUUAGAUUAUGAGACGAUGACCAAUAUUAAUCAAAGUUUGAUACCCAAAAUGCAUGUAAUUCGAAUCAUAAUAAGAAACUCAACAUUUCAAACCAAUCCAUAAUACAAAAUGCAUAGAUAUUCCCUAACUAAUAGAAAUUGUUAUCUCCACCAACAAAGUUUGAAGUUAGGAUUACAGGUUUCAGAUUUCGAGUUUCAGGGAUUAGGGGUUUUGUGGUUGGUGGUUGGGGGUUUGGAGGUUUGGAGGUUUGGGGGUUGGGUUUCGAGGUUUGUGGUUUUGAGGUUUUAGGUUUCGUGUUCAGGGUUCGAGGUGCGAGGUUCGAGGUUAGGGGUACUUUAGGGUUUAGUGUUUAGGAUUUUAGGGUUCUGGUUUCGAGAUUGGGGAGGGUUUCGGGUUCAAGGUUCGUGGUUUGGGGUACUUUAGGGUUUAUGGUUUAGGGGUUAAAGUUUAGGUUUUAUUGUCUACGGCUUUAGGUUUUUAGGGGUUUAAGGUUUAGUGUUUUAGGUUUCAGGGUUUAGGGUGCAUGGAUCGGGGUUCGUGAUUUCGAGUUUCUGGGUAGAGCGUUUGGGGUUUCAAGUUUUAGGUUUCGGGGUUUUGGGGUUUUUGGGUUUUUGGGUUUGGGGGUUGGGUUAGAGGUUUUAGGUUUCGAGGUUUAGACUUUUCGAGGUUUCGAGGUUUGUGGUUUUGGGGUUUCAGGUUUCGUGUUCGGGGUUCGAGGUUCAGGGUUUGGGGUUCGAGGACUAUAGAGGAUUGAGGCUAACCACCAAUCAGGAUGAAAAAUGAAAACAAAUUAUAUUAUAAACAUUCUCAAAUCUAAUCCGAUAUAAUAAUAAAAGUUUGAAAAAGUAGCACCACUCAACAAAUAAAAACAACAAAAUUUUGUGGGAAAUUGUCUGUAUGGCCAAAAACAAUAUUCCAAAAGUUCUUCAAUGCUAAAAAGAAAGAGGAUAAAGAAGAUAAUAAACAUUAAACUGGAGAGUAUCAUUUCCUAUACCAUCCAACGUGUAGCUAAUAGAGUGACGCAUCGGUAAGAGUAUAAAUAAAAUUGAAAACUAAGAGUGCUCAGUUUUACUUUGAUCGUGCAAAUGGUCUAUCUUUCUCGAGUUCUAACUCCAUAAGUUUAGCUUCUACUUCUCAGUUUUUAGCUAAGCCCAUGCCCCAUUCCAACUUUAUCUCCUGUGACCGGAGACCAGCAUCACAAGCAGCCACAGUGAGAUUUGAUAAAAGCAUUGAUAAGAACUAUAACUUCUGAGAAGUACAUAGUUUAAAGUAGAAUUUUAAUUAAAUCUUAACUCUUGAAUACCACCCUAAGACUUCAAUACUAUACUUUAAUUCAACCAACCACUAAUAAACAUAGAACAAGAAAUUGGAACAAGUCUGAAUUAUUAAUAUCACAAAGCCUAAAUAUUAGAAUUAUCAAUAUGAAAAAAGAUGAAACAAGUCUCAACUCAAGAUAGCUAGUUUUGAGAAGCUUUAAGUUUGUAGCUUUUCAACAUAGUCAACAAAACAUGAAGCAUACCUAAAGAAAGAGAAAGUCUCAUGCUAUUAAAUUAAUUGAAACCACAAGCAACAACAAAAAAAUUAGCUUGAUUAAACAAGUUCUUAAUAAUCUUUUGAUUGAGCCAAACAAGCUAAACCACACCAUUCAGACUAGUCAAAAGCAAACAACCCAAAUGCUGAAUUUCAUUAUGAUUCGUCCUAACAUGUAUAUAUAUCUAAACAUGAAACUAAAACUUCCCAAUUUUGCAUAAGCUUAAAAAAGACAUGAAUUUAAGAUAAUUAAAAAAGUUAUCUAAGGUACCCAAAGGAUCGCUUCUUUUUUUAAUAUUAUUAUUAUUGAAAAAGUUAACUACAGGAGGAACCUCUUCAAUAAAAAGUUCUGCACCAAGAUCACCUCUGACAACCAUUGCCUAAAAUGAAAAUAAAUAAUGUUCUUCAAUUAGCAACAAAGCCCCAGACUACCAACAAAAUUGAAAACCUUUGAAUGAAAUUUAACAUUAACGAAGCUAUAAAAAAAUUCAAACAAUUACCCCAUCAGAAGCUGUAAUAAUUGAAUGCAAAUUUGGUAUGGAGUAUACACUUUCUAUAUUUACAAUCACGUUAAUAUCAGCAUCACAGCCUGUAGAGUCAGAUAAGUUAAUAAGUUUGUAGUAGAACAGACUAGCAGAAAUGGCAGCAUCCAAAUUGUCUUUAUAAGCACAACAUAAAGAUCUGAAGCUAUUUACUCUUGAGGUAUUUCAACUCAUGAACUAGUUUGUUGUCAACUCCAAAUUUAAUAUCAUCCAAAUCCUUCUCAGCAAGAAGUAGACAACAAAUUCAUUGAGUCACAGACAAAAAAAUAAAUUUACUUAUAGAAAAAUCCCGAAAAGAAGAAACUUCACGAAAAGGUGAAAUCUAUAGGAUAUGCUUAUUCAAUCCAACCAAUAAUUGAAGGAAGUGUAGCACUUUUCCCUCGAACAUUUAAAUGUCUCAUGGACUUGAGCUCUCCUCCAUCAAUAACUUCACAUAAGACAGAAUCUUCUGUCUUAGACUUCACCAUCAACGACAUCAUUCCACCUCUAAUGGAUUUAAAUAGCCAAUGUUUGUGCAAGCCACGAGAUAAUUAGAAAAAAAGAAAGCACAUGCGAUGUAACAUACAUAAAAAAAUAAUAAUAAACAUUAUACAUCAUCUAAGAUAGCAACAAGGAAAUACUAAAGAACUUGGGCAUCACAUAGGUGUGGGUGUGGGAGGGAGAUCAAACCAUUUGCUAUAGUCAAUCCAUCCAGUGAAAAAAGUCAAUAUGUCGUUUCCCUUGGCUAAAACCAUUUGCUAUAAUCUGGCUCAUUUAGAACUUAUUUGAAAGUUCAUUGCUGUGAUAUAUAUAUAUAUAUAUAUAUAUAUAUAUAUAUAUAUAUAUAUAUAUAUGUCAUUUAUUAUAAUUUUACAUGGUCUCUAGGGUUUAGUUUAUUCUCUAUAUAAAUAUGUAACAUUGCUUUGACUCAAACAUAAUAAGACAGAUACUUCUCUGAAUUCUAGAUUACAUGGUAUCAGAGCCAUUAGGGUUUUGAAUGGCCAUUAGCUUCCUCCUCCAUUAGGUUCGAGUUUAGGUUACCUUCCGCUGACCAUUUGUCGACACCGCCCAUACCAUAAGAAGCACCACCUCCGUCCGCCCAAGUCUGUCUUCGCCGAUCGCCGGAAAACACCGCGUGUGACCUUCACGCACCACCGGAAUCAUCGUCGCCUUCACCCACGCAUCGGCGCGUGAGAAGUUUGAUUUGUCUUUCGUCUUCUGGGCUUGUCUCGAACCAUUGUUUCCUGUCAGUCUGUACCAUUGGGUCUAUCAAAUAACAUUUGGGUUUGACGAAAACUGAAGGUUACACGAUUGGUUUUGGGUCUUUUUCCAAUUUUGCAGCUGUUUGGAUCGAUUUUCUCUUUGUUCGUGUGGACUACAAUCAACGUGUGACUUCAAUAUGGCCGACAUAAAAAAUUUGGUAGUCUCCAACGUUAUUCCCUUGGCCUCUAAGAUCACAGAACAUAAGUUAAAUGGAUCCAAUUAUUACGAUUGGCGUCAAACAAUUUUAUUUUAUUUGAGAAGUACUGAUAUGGAUGAUCAAUAUGACUGAAGAUCCCCCAAAAGAUGCAAAGCAGAAGAAGGAUUGGCUUCGUGAUGAUGCCCGUUUAUAUCUUUAGAUCAAGAAUUCAAUUGAGAGUGAGAUAAUUGGAUUGGUUGAUUACUGUGAGUCUGUUAAAGAACUUUUAGAAUUUUUGGAUUUUCUAUACUCAGGUAAAGAGCAAGUGCUGAUAGAAUGUUUGAAGUUUGUAUGCAAUUUUUUCGUGCGGAACAGAAAGCUGAGUCUGUCACCAGCUACUUUAUGCGGCUUAAGAAGAUCAUUGCCGAGCUUGGCUUGUUGUUACCUUUAGUCUUGAUGUUAAAGUUCAACAAGUUCAACGAGAGAAGAUGGCUGUUAUGAUUUUCCUGAAUGGACUCUUACCUGAAUUUGGAAUGGCAAAGACACAGAUUCUCUCUGACUCCAAGAUUCCAUCAUUAGAUGAUGCCUUCACUCGAGUCCUUCGCAUUGAAAGCUCUCCGACUAGUGUGUCUAUUCCUCAACCCAGUAGUGCUCUCUUUUAGCAAGAACAAUAACCCUCGAGCACCUCAGAGGAAUAGUACUGAUCAUCGAAAACCAGAGUCUGUAGAGAUUGUUUUGUAACUACUGUCGUAAGCCAGGCCAUAUGAAACGUGAUUGUCGGAAAUUGCUAUAUAAGAAUAGUCAACGAUCUCAACAUGCUCAGAUAACCUCCACAUGUGAUAUACCAGAGGCGUCAGUUACUAUUUUUGCAAAUGAGUUUGCUAAGUUUCAGAAUUACCAAGAGUCAUUACAAGCGUCAUCUUCCUCUACUCCGAUUGCAUCCACUGUUACCCUAGGUAAUACAAAGUGUCUUCUUACAUCAUCUACCAAAUGGGUCAUAGACUCUGGUGCCAAAGCUCACAUGACAGGUAAUUCUCACCUAUUUUCUAGAUCGUUGUCCCCUGCCCCUUUUCCAUCGGUUACAUUGGUCGAUGGCUCCACAUCUUCUGCUCUUGGCUCUGGCACUAUUCACCUUACCCCAUCCUUUUCUCUCUCUUCUGUGUUACAUUUGCGUAACUUAUCCUUUAAUUUAAUUUCUACUAGUCAACUUACUCAUGACCUAAAUUGUGUUGUCAUGUUCUUUUCUGGUUAUUGCUUGUUUUAGGAUCGUGUGACGAAAAAGAUUAUUGGUAGAGGAUAUGAGUCAGGAGGUCUUUAUCUCUUUGAUCAUCAAGUAUCGCAAGCUGUGGCGUGUCCUGUCGUUCCCUCUCCUUUUGAAGUCCAUUGUCGUUUAGAUCAUCCAUCUUUGUUUGUGUUGAAGAAACUUUAUCCAGAAUUUAGGUCUUUGUCCUCUUUAAAUUGUGAUUUGUGUCAAUUUGCGAAAUUUCAUCGUCUUAGUUCGAGUCCUCGAGUCGAUAAACGAGGAAUUGCUGCAUUUGAGUUAGUUCAUACUGAUAUUUGGGGUCCAUGUCCAGUUGUAUCUCAAACAGGCUUUUGUUAUUUUGUUACUUUUGUUGACGAUCAUUCUCGUCUAACUUGGUUAUAUUUAAUGAAAAAUCGUUCUGAGUUAUUAUCUCAUUUUUGUGCCUUUCAUACUGAAAUAAACAACCAGUUUAUUGUCUCUAUCAAAACUUUGCGUACUGAUAAUGCAGGUGAAUAUUUUUCUCAUUCUCUUGGCUCUUACUUGUGUGAAAAUGGCAUUAUUUAUCAGUCUUCCUGUGCUGACACUCCAUCUCAAAAUGGUGUUGCAGAGCGAAAAAAAAGGCAUUUACUUGAAACUGCCCGUGCUUUAUCGUUUCAAAUGUAUGUUUCAAAAACCUUUUGUGUGGAUGCUGUCUCUACAGCUUGUUUUUUGAUUAAUCAGGAAGCUUCACAGAGCAAGGUAAAGCUUAAGAAUUCAGAGUUAGUUAAGAUCAAAACCAUAAUCAUACAACAAUCAACAACAAACAAAUCUCAUAUCUCAUCAAAUUUUUCAAAAAGAUAAAUAAAAGAAAACAAGUAAGAAUCAGACAAGCAAACAUACAAUGUCUAUUUUUCCAUUUGAAUUUUUCCUACAUCUGUUAAGUUCCAAAUAUGUUUUUGAGUCAUUGGAAAUUACUUUUUAUAUUACAAAAUCACUUUUAAAAGUAGACACAAACAAAGGUUAAUAUGGCUAAUGGAACAAUAACCUACAAAUUUUUAGGUACUCUACCCUACAAAUUAAAUUCACAAUUCUUGCAACAAUGCUUUUGACUUCAUUUAUAUCAAGAUAUUGAUGUCACACAAGUGAUACUAAUAACAAGAAACAAAACCAAGAAUCAAUAGUUUCAUCAUUUUUUCUUUUCUCUUGGGCAUUGCCGAUCUCAUUCUAAAGUGAUUUUCCUUAGCCAAAACAACAAUGAAAUCAAAUCACAGUUACUAUGAAAAUGUUAGUGUAAAGUACGAAGCAUUCUUCUUCAUUUUUGGGUUGAUCCAUUCUCCAUUGUACUCAAUGGAAAAUUAAAUUAAAAUUAUGGAACUGUUUCUUCAUCCAUUUCCAAUAAACCCAGUUAAAGAAAUCACUCAGAACAACAAAAAAAUGAUAAUAAAUAUAUAGCAACUUUGAACAAGAAAACAUGUUUUUGAAUUGAAUCUUUCCCUUAGCCAAUAUCAAAGUUUUAAUACAGUGGAAGAACACUUUUAACAAAACAUUUAUUAAUAAAAAUUAACUUUGUUAACUAGUUUCUAAAAACACUCUCAAAUAUGCCUUCCAUAACCUGGUUUAAGUUUUGAAGAAAAAUGACUAAUGGGCUGGGAUACUCAUGCCAUGGAGUGGCAAAAAAGAGGCUGAACUUUGUAUUUGAAGUAUCAUGUUGGUGAAGACAUGUAAAAGGUCUUAUGAACAUUUCAAUUUAACUCUUUUGUCUCUUGAGUACUAUAGCUUUAGACUAAUGAUUAUUUUCCAGUUUGUCUCUACACAAAAGACCAGUUUGUCCAUUUCUACUUUAAUUGUCAGCCUUCCAAGCUUGUCAAAUACAUCAGUUUUUAAGAUUUAUGUGCACCCCAUGUCAUUAAUCCCUUCCCAAGCUGAUUUUCCUUCGUAAAUAUAUAUUACAUUAACACUUAAACACACAUAUUUCAAAGAUUGAUUCCAAAACGAAAAUGAGAAAUGAAUGAAACUCAAAUCAAAAUUAGAGAAAUAGAGAGUGGAGGUGAAAAUAACCAGAAAAUUUACAAUAAUGCUAUGGAGGAAAAGAAGACAAGUGACUGAAGGAAAUGAGGACUCAGGGAAAAGACUCCUAUUGGAAGAAGGAACUAAGUUACCAUUUUGAAAUUCAAGAAAGAAACUGGUGGAUCUUGAAAUGGGUGUAUGUAUCUCUAUUAGCAACCCAAACUACUGUUUGAACAGAGAUUUUAUUAUACCAAAUGCUUAUGUAAUACUUGGAUGAAGAAGAUGAAGAUUUCAUGAGUAGAAAAAAAAAAAGAGAAAUAUGAAGGAAACAUAAAUGAUGUGGGGGGACACUGAAGAAACAGAUCCAAAAACAUGCAGUACUAUGAACUGCAAGAACAAGCAAUCUCUUAAGCUAGAAAAAGAAGAAACAUGAAAAACCAAGGAUGUAAUUAUCUAUACCUCAUCUGUAUGACGUAAAUCGUCGGGGAAGAAGGAAGAUGAGGACAAACCCUUCAAGUCCAAAACUUUAGACAGCAUGAUGGAACUGAAAAAGAACAAAUCCCAAAAUAAAGAAAGAAAACUCAAAGAAGCUCCAUAAAAAAGGACGCCAAAAAUUGCAACCCCACUCCUUCAGAAGGCAAUUCAAAAACUUCCCUGGAGCCUAUAAAAAUCUACAGGUCGAGCAAAACAUUUCAUGAGUAGAGAAAAAAUAAAAGAAAUCAAAUUACAAAACGAAGAAUCAUUUGUUAAACUAACUUAAACACCACAAUUCAUAUUUUUUUAGGGUUACCCAUUGUGCACACACCAAAUCAUUCUUAAGAGAUUUAAGUUUAACAGUAAAGACCAGAGAUGGAUCAAACUGUUACACCAUUGUUAAAAAGAAGAAAAGAAGGCCCAUAGAAAGGAAGCUAUUAAGGAAGAUAUUUCAUUGUUGGCAAAGAGCAUUGAAAGGCUGGGUGUGCAGGCUGGACAGCAACAGCAGCAACAACGAACUUUCAUGAAAUAUACUUAAGGAAUGAUUAAGGAAAGACAACAUGGGAAGAAGUUCCAGAAGGUUCGUCCAACAAGAAAGAAACUAUGAUUGAUGUCAGUGAUUCAUUUGUGAUGGGAGGAAAAUCGGAAGAAAAAUACACCAAGUUGGAAGGAGAAGAAUCUGCAGGGGAUCGAAGCAAAUUCAAGAAAAUUGACAUGCCAGUUUUCGCGGGUAUUGCCCGGAUUCUUGGUUAUUUAGAGUAGAACGUUAUUUUCAGAUACACAAACUUACUGAGCCAGAAGAAGAUGACGGUGAUAAUCAUUAGGUUUGAUGGUGCAGCCUUGGAUUGGUAUAGAUCUCAUGAAGACCGUGAACCGUUUGUUAAUUGGGAAGAUUUAAAGAGAAGACUUAUUAUUCGAUUUCGAUCAGACCGUGAGGGAUCAAUAUUGGGCAGAUUUUUAACGAUAAAACAAGACACUACAGUGGAUGAAUACAGAAUUUUUUUUGAUAAAUUGGUGGCACCUUUGCCUUUUCUGCAUAAGACAGUUAUAGAAGAGACAUUUAUGAAUGGUUUGAAACCUUGGAUUAAGACAAAAUUGGAAUGUUGGGAACGACUGUUGUUGGCUUGCUCAAAUGAUGAAAUUGGCCUAGAAAAUUGAGAACCGAGAGGUGAUAAGGGUGAAUCUGACUUAAAAUGUGCAGGGGAUGAUAAAACCCAAGUUUCUACUUCUUUAAAUACUCAAUUUCAUGUAGUUUCCAAUGACAAUAAGUCAGAAGGUACUGUUCCAGUAAGGGCUAUCACACUUCGAGGGGCUGCAGAAAUUAAUUGACGGGAAGGACCACCAAGACGACUUUUUUGUGAUGUUGAGUUUCAAGCCAGAUGUGAGAAAGGGAUCUGCUUUUGUUGUGAGGAAAAAUUUUGUGCAGGCCAUAGAUGUAAGGUGAAGGAUCAGAAGGAACUCAGAGUGUUAGUUGUUCAAGCAAAUGGGGAGGAAUUGGAAGUAGUGGAAGAGGAUGAUCGUAUAGAGGAACUUGAGGUAAAAGCUAUUGAACUUGGUAUAGAAUAAAAAGAACCAGUGAUAGAAUUGUCAUUAACUUCAUGGAACACCGGAUUAAAUGCGAUAUCAAGUGCUGCUUAAUUAUCACACCACAAUUUUGCUGGUGUGGUGAUUUCAAAUUCCAACUCAACAAUAGUCAAAAAGUUGAUAUAUCCAAAUCAAUUUGAUAUAUCCAAUUCACACAAAAAACUGUGCAAUUGCUCUAUAUUUUUUUAUUAUGCACUUGAAUGUGACACCACAUUUUGUUUCUUACUUUUCCAAGACAUCAAAUUGCCACCAAACAAAAACAAAAUAUCCUGAAGUUGAUCUUUCGUCUUCUUUAGAUUUUACCAAUUAACAUCUGAGAAAUAUUCAAUAUUAGUAUGACUAUAAUCCUUAUAUAAUAAAACCAUGCCCGAGAGCAGCCUUCAGAUAACACUGAAUCAUUCCAAAGCAGCUGAAUGAUCAACUUUAGGGCAUGACAUAUACUGGCUCAUAAUACUUACUAAAUAGGCUAUGUCGAGUUGAGUCACUGGAAGGUAAUUAAGUUUUUCCUCUAACCUCCUAUAUCUUUCAAGAUCUUUCAACAAUUCUCCAUCUUUUGUGAGCUAUAAGUUAGGCAUCGUUGGGGUACUACAUGGCUUAGCCCCUACCUUCCAUGUUUCAGUCAACAAGUCCAUAUUUUCUCGUGUGAUAAUAGUAUUGCUUUCUUGCCUGUUUUUACCUCAAAUUCCUAGGAGGUAUUUCAACAUGCCCAAAUCUUUUAUUUGGAAUUGGCAAUAGAGAAAAGUCUUCAAGGACUGGAUAUCUACAGAAUCAUCACCAACAACCACAGUUGCAUCAACAUAUACUACUAUUAGGAUCACCCCACUCUCGGAUCUUUUAAAAAAGUUCGAAUGAUCUAACGGGCUCUUUUGCAUUCCAAAACUUUCGAUCACCUUAAUAAAUUUGCCAAACCAAGCCCGUGGACUACGUUUUAGUCCAUCUAAAGAUUUACAAAGGCGACACGCCUUUCCAUUCUUCCCCUGAGCAACAAACCCUAGUGGUUGCUCCAUAUACACCCCUUCUUGAGGAUCACCAUGAAGAAAUGUUAGAAAUUAAUAAGCUAGAUACAUUAUGGAUAACACAUUAAUAGAUACAUUUCUAGUUUCAAGAUACAUAUGCAUUUCUAGAUACAUGUAAUUAUUCAAGUACAUGAAUGGUAUGUAUUCAUGUACUUCAUUUAUUUUGUGUCUUUUAGGAAGUGUCUCUUGAAUACUAUAUAUAGAGAUCAUUUCCUUCAUUUGUAUACAAGAAAAAAGAAUCAAAUCAAUAGAAGCAAAUUGAGUUUCAAGAGAACAACAUUCUUCUCUUGUGUGUUAUUGAGUUUUCUAAGAGAACAAAUUUCUUCUCUUAAAAGUUUGUGAGAUUUAGAGUAAAUUUAGAGUGGGCUCGUCAACGCCUCCAACAAGAAAUGUGUAAGGACCCUAGAUAGAAAAAUAGUGGAUUAUUAGGAAAGAUGGAAGAAGACUCGACCGCAGUUGAGAGAGGACUUGGGAGCAAGCACUUAAAAUGGGCUGCUAAUUGCAAACUUGAGGUGGAUGAGAGGGAGAAACUCCAUGGACAUGGGAGCAUAUGCAGAAAUGGAUUGUGGAUUGCAAGGCAGAAAGAAUACAGAGGAGUGCUCAAACAAUACAUCAAAAGCUUUCUGAAGGGCUGCAAAGAGAUAAAGAAAGAGCGGAGAAGAAACUAGAAGAAAUUAAAGUUGAAGAAAAACAGAAAUGGAACAAUGACUUAAAGAUGAAGGAAUCGAAGAACGACCAUGAAAAAGAUGAAGGAGGAGGAAGCCAAAUCUAACUGUGUAUUCCCAUGGCCGACAACUAAGGGUGAGGUGGUCGGAGACAAACACUUGGUGGAAAUGGAAACACCGAACAGAGAAGGCGGAAGCAUGGGAAAGGAGGCAAACACUAUGGAUGAGAAGGAAGGCAAAGAAACGAUUGAGGAAGCGAUCAUUGAUACUUGGUGGUAGUGAAGAAAACAAAAAGAAGAAUCAAACAGUACAUGUGUGGAACAAGUCGACCUGGAUACGAUCUGUGAAAAUAGAAGAAACGACUCAUUGGAGUGGCAGUAUUGAGAGGCUGAUCAUAUAUAUAGGCCAAGAUUUUGUUGAGGUACGUUACUUUCCUUGCCUUUCUUUUGUGGCGUGCGAGUUAUAUCAAAGUAGGGAAGGGAUGAGGAAGCUAGGCAAUGAAGAAGAUGAACAAAGGAAUUUCGAAGGACAUCGAAGUAAGAUAGAAUGGGUAACGACAAGGAAGAAAAUGGCAAUGGAAUUAGUACAGGAUCACAGAAGAGGCUGGCGAAUGGAAACAUAUUGGGUCGUGACAGAAAAUCGAGGCGGGAUGAAUAGAAACCGCGGCGGAGGAAAGAUUCUGAGUCGGUCACCAGUGGCCAGAAAAAGAAGAAGAUGGAUUGUCGAAAAGUCCAGUUACAGGAAGAGGAGAUGGAGACAGGGUGCGUUGGAGCUAGUCGACCUAAGCCACAAAGGGAGUUUGUCGGAACGCGAAUAGCAACGAAGCUGCAAGUGAGAUCGGAAAUUGUCGGGAAGAAUGCUUUGAUAUUUGCAGAGGAGUGAGCAGCUACGGACAAAAAAAAUUCAGAAAGGAGGGGAAGAUUUCUUGAAGAAAAACGAUUCUUCAACCCACGUGAAGCGUCAGACGUUAGGGCGAAAAAUUAGAGACAGUAGUAGUUAUGAUUUGUUUAAUGGGCUGAAAUUAAAUGAAAAGGCCCAGAUUUUCUCAAAUGAGCUUGGCCUAGUGGAGAAAUUGGGGAUCAAAUUCCUAAUAAAUGUCCAGGAAAACAAAGUGGAGGCUAGGAGAAGGAUUGGCACAUGCAAACCUCAAUGGUUAAAGUAUAUCACGUGGGAUGGCAAAUAGGGAAAGAAUUUAAUCAAAAGUGGGCCAAAAUGUUGCUUUUUGGGCUGAUUGCAAAAGUAAGGGAUGAGGCCCAUUAUACCUCAAAAAAAAAUAAAUUGAUGGCUUUAUCUAAGGAAGUGGAAAUCCUAUUGGAAUAUGGAUGGUGGGCCAAACAUGAGAUGAUAAACAAAGAAAUACAGCCUUCAUAAAGAAAGAAAGGAAAUUAAUGGGCUUGAAUUUGCUAAAUUCAUUGAGACCCAUUUGUUAGUGUGGCUGAAAGUAACUUGAAACUGGAUCGAAAUUGCCUGAAGCUCAUUGGUAAUUUUAAGAAAGAUGGUGUAUGGGCCGUGAAAUUGAUUUGGGGAUGGGGUUAUAAAGUUAAUUGUGGGCUUAGCCCAUUAGAGAGGAAGAGCUUCAAAUUAAAAUGCAAGUGGCAUGGAAUUAGGCUCAGGAAAUGGCAGUUGGUUAAUUGGGAUCACUUUCCGUGUGAGAAGAAUGAAGAUUGGGGAAGUUCUUGGAGUCUAAAGGGUUGGAUGCAUGCAAAUGUAAUUAUUACAACGCAAUAGAAUUUCAAGGUAAAGCUGAAUAAAAUUUCUUCCAAGAAGGCAGGGGUAUGGUAGAGAGUUCAAGGUUUGUAGGUCGUAAGCACACCUUGAGGACAAUGUGUCUUCGAAGGGCGGAGUAAUGUAAGGACCCUAGAUAGAAAAAUAGUGGAUUAUUAGGAGAAAAUGAAAAUGGUUGUUAGUAAGGUCAUAUUAGUAAAUAGAUGGGUUAGGUCUUUUUGUUAUAAAUAGUAGGAGAGGGGUUGGGGAGAGGUGUGAAGAAUUUUGAGAAAGUUUUCCUUGUAAGGGAACCUUGGGAGAGUCUAACCCUCUCGAAAGGCUAGGGUUACUUGUUACUUGUUAUUAAGAUCUAAUAUAUAUUUCAUGUGUAGAUGUUUUUUAAGUAUUCUUGAGUUCAUCUUUUCUUCUUGAGGUAAUCCUUGUUAGGUGGGAUCCUAACAAAUUGGUAUCAGAGCCGUAACAUCUUGAGAAUGACACGGGCUUGGAUGCAAAAACAAAUGGAGGAGAGGAAUUGGAGAAGAAUAAGGACAUUAGGGAACUUAAAGAUGUAACUUUGGAGUUGUCCAAAAGCAUCGAAAGACUGGCAGAGGAAUUACGAGAAACCAAAGUUAGUUGCCAACGGGAAGAAUCUGCUACAUCGUAGGGAUCAGUGUUGAAAAUGAACGGAAAGAUGGAAGAUGACUCGACCGCAGUUGAGAGAGGAACUUGGGAGCAAGCACUUAAAUGGGCUGCUAAUUGCAAACUUGAGGUGGAUGAGAGGGGAGAAACUCCAUGGACAUGGGAGCAUAUGCAGAAAUGGAUUGUGGAUUGCAAGGCAGAAAGAAUACAGAGGAGUGCUAAAACAAUACAUCAAAAGCUUUCUGAAGGGCUGCAAAGAGAUAAAGAAAGAGCGGAGAAGAAACUAGAAGAAAUUAAAGUUUAAGUAUUCUUGAGUUCAUCUUUUCUUCUUGAGGUAAUCCUUAUUAGGUGGGAUCCUAACAAAAUGCACUUUUAAUAUCAAGCUGAUGUAAAAAAGUUGGAAACAAAUAUUGAACCUCUCCUCUCCUCUCACCCACCCUCUUCUCUCUUCAUUCCGGCCACACCUUCUCACGGUGACGUCGACGGCAACGCCAAACCCAGGGAGUUACAACUCCAUCUUUUUCAGAAAUGGAAGUCAAAAGUUGAAAAAUGGUAGACACUUUCUACUGUAUCUAGUUCGAAAAGGGGAGGUUCAAUAUUGAAGAUGUAGACUUCCAAAAAAUCCUCACUUUAUCCAAGAUCCAAUUAGAGUGGUUCAUUGAUUCAAUAGAUGUUCUUGUAAAAGAACCAAACUGGAAGUUUUUCAACAAAUAUGCGAGUGAUGAAACCGAAACAACAAAGCUAUCCAAAUUCUGAACCCCAUCUGAUUGGUUUCUGAGGUGUGUUGCUCGAAACUUCUCUGGAAUACAAUCCUUCAUCCAUCUACUCAUGAGAAACCAGACAAGGUUGGGUCUCCUUCCUCAACAUGAUCAGGUCCUUUUUAUUGACUCAUAAUUACACCUCCUUUUCAAAAAUAUCAAGCUGAUGUAAAGGCCAGUGACUGAUUGAAGUUAGUGAAAUAAACAACCUCACAAAUGUCAUUUUUACUACUCGAGAAAAAGUAUCAGCAUAGUUAACGCCAUGUUUGUGCGUAGCCUUUCACUACAAGGUGUACUUUUAAUUGAGCGACAAAACCAUCAGGAUUAACUUUAAUUGUAACCACCCAUUUGCAACUGAUAUACUUUUUUCGUGCAGGGAGAGAAACUAAAUCCCAAGUACAAUUAUCAUCUAAAGUAAUCAUCUCCUCCACCAUUGCAACACACCAACCAAGAUGAGAAUAGGCUUAAUGAUACAAACUCUAAUGAUGCAAUGAAAGAACAUGCAGAAGACAACUAAUGGUUAUAUGAAACAGAAGAGGAAAUAAGAUGAGCACACUUAAGUUUACCUUUACGAAGAGCAAUAGGAAGAUCAUCACUCAUUUCUGGAUCCAAUGACGAAGAAGCCUUAGGGGUAGGGCAUGGAAUUGAAGAAGGUUGUCGUCGAUCAUAGACUUCAGUGAUGGGUUGACAAAUAGAAGUAAACACACGUGAAGAUGAACCACAAAGAGGAUUAGAAGGAGAGAUAACAUUGUAGAUAAAGAAAUCAUCCUUUGACUCUUGAUACUCCCUCGACUCAUAUUCGAAGAGAAAGAAGGUGAGGAAUAAAAGGAGGAAUGUUCAAAGAACACGAGAAUAACCAAAAAGAUAUAUUUUAAGGUCUUUGGAUCCAACUUUGUAUGUUGAGGCCGAACGUCUUGGACAAAUCAAGUAUAACCAAUUAUUUUGGGUGGAAUGAGAAACAAAUGUUGUUUGGGGCAUAAGAUACAAAAAGGUAUCUCACCCUUAAAAAUGGAAGAGGGCAUGCAAUUUGUUAAGAAACGGGCUAUGGAAACAUCAGCCCAAAAAGAAAUUGGAAAAUUCAUUUGAAACAUUAGGACUAGUGGUUUAAAAAGGAUGACGAUUCUUUCAUUUUGCAAACCCACUGACUUCAUGAAAUUAAUAAAUAGAAGUGUGAAAGUAACAUAGACAUGAAUAUAUAAGCUAGAGCAAAGGCAUGACUACUAUACCUGACUACCAUUACAUAGCGCUAAAAGAAAUUGUAAUUUUCUUUUUCAUUCAAUAUGUAAUUUGACGUAAUAGUAAUAGUAAUUCCUCUUUCAAACAACCACUUUUUUUUUUCAACAAAGAGGACAAGGCUUAUGAUCCCUAAAUCGUUAGCAAUUAAGAUGCAGCAAAUAAGGUAGCUAAGAUGCAGAAAAUAAGAAAACACCCCAAAUCACUACAGUGCAUAAGAAAUCUAUCACAUAAGCACAAAGAUAAAUACUGAGAGUAUUAGUUGAAACUUAGCAAACACAAACAGGGCAAACUAUUAUUUAACGUGCUAGUUUAAAUAUAUAUCUAAACUAAACUACACAAGUAUUUCAAACUGGCAAAACUAAAAUUAGGUUUAUAGAAACAACGUGUCCUCAUCCUUUCUCCUAAGGAAUGCUAUUCAUUAUGAUUUUAUCUUUUGAGUUUUAAAAAUAUGCUAUUUAUUAUUCAUAUCUUUUCUCGUGCUAUCUAGAAGCUAACCAAACAACAUAGAGAAAGUACAUUUGUAUCACUAAUCAAUAUUUGAAAUGAUGACGCAGAUUAAAUAAUACAGAAUUCAGAAAGUAGAACUUGCCUGCUAGCUGACUUCAGCUGCUCCCUGAGUUCCUUGAACUUGAGGUUUCUCAUGUUCUCAACAGUGAAAACAAAAACUGAGUUGUAAUUUUCCACACCCUGCCUGAUCGAUUCCACCAUUGAUUUCUUGUGGUCCCUUCCUUUUCUUCUUUGUUUUUGAUAAAGUAACUGCAUUUAUCCCACGAACAAUUAGAUAGAAGACUUAAAACACUAAUCUGCAUAGGACUAAGUUCAUAUUUUUCCUCUUUAAAACACUAAUCUGCAUAGGACUAAGUUCACAUUUUCCCUCUUUCUUUUUAAGUUAAAAACCACAUGAGUUUGACAAUGAUUACUACCACCACAAGUCAUUUAACUUCUUCAACUGCCUCAUACUUUUCACAAGAAACUGCGUCAUACAAAUUAACCCAUAAUAAAGCUAUCCAAAUUCCGAACCCCAUCUGAUUGGUUUCUGAAAUCAGUAACUCUCAUGGAAGGAAAAACUUGGACAGACUGAUGCAGAAAUUGAGAAUGAAAGUUAGAAAAAGAUUAAUUGCUAUAGAAAAAAAUGAUUCUUGUACUAGAAUCGUUGUUCCCUGCCAUUCUCGAAACAGCCUGAAUAGUCAUGUUAAGAACACCGAGCCCUGCACUAAAGUUGAAAGAGGGGAAAAAACAGCAUGUUGAAACAAAUGAAGGUUAAACCAAAAGGAUUGAACUAUAGUUUCCAAAGUUUUCAUCUCUUAUAUUCACGUAAUAGUAAUAGUAAUAGUAAUUCCUCUUUCAAACAACCACUUUUGUUUCAACAAAGAGGACAAGGCUUAUGAUCCCUAAAUCGUUAGCAGUAUUGCUAUUUGGAGAAAAUGUUAAAGUUAAACAGCUGACAAUACCUUCCAGCCCCUACCACUACUAUCUUUUGGUUAACAAAAUCACUCAAUGGCCGCCCUUGAGCUCUCACAGUUCCCAAUAGUCCAACGAGAGCAACACCAGCAGUUCCCUUUAUGAAAUGAAAUAAACGAAAACGAAUGUCCUUUUAAGUAAUUAUCAACUGCAUUAAUACAUCAUCAACUACUCACUUGUAUGUCAUCGUUGAACAUGCAGAACCUCUUACGAUAACGUUGUAAUGUUUCAAAAGGCCAUUUCAUUUGAAAAUCCUCAAACUGGCAUCAUUCAAAAUCAAAUUACGAGAUUACGAUACUGAUUACUGGCAGUGAACACAGUUAAAAAUUUGAUAUCUUAACCAAUAAACCUGAACAAUAGCUUUAGGCCAACAUGUAUGCACGGCUUCCAUAAAAUCAUCAACAAUUGAUAGAUACUCUUCUCCCUCCAAUCUAGGUAUUCCUAUUCCCUGAACUCCAAGGUCACCGAGGCCAAGAAUACGACUUCCAUCUGUCAAGACAAUCAUGUCAACCUGUAGUUGGAAGAAGAAAAUACAAUGAACUUCAAAUAUGGUGUUGCUGGAAAUUAAAAGAGAUUUUCAUUUUUAUUUUGCUCAAAAUCAAUGCUCUUGAGCUUUUAAUGUCCCGAGGAAUGUGAAAGUUUCCCAAUAUAUCGUGUAUGGAAGUUUAAACUUUUCAAAGAAAACAAGGGUGAUCAACAUACAAAAGCCUCCUGUGGAUAGAAAAUUAAUCAAACAAAAAUUCGAUUGUUCUGUAGCAGUUUGACUUUGUUGUUAAGGAAAUUAAGAGUGAUAAGAAGGCGAGGGAGUGACUUUGAGUGGUGGCCAUUCGACAGCCAAGCAACUACACUCAAAGUUGAAGGUCGAAUAGGCAGCAGGAAGAAACGAAGAAGAAGAAGAAGAAAAGUUUUCGAUCUAUCAAACAUGAUCAUCAUACAAUAGACGAAAGUCAUUUAAAUUAUCCAAAUAUCUUUUGAAGUAAUUUUAACAUUUUCAAAAUAACUCUUAAUCAUGCUCUAAAUAUGGAAUGAAUUGUCUAUCCAACUACAAAUACAAAAGUUUUUCUAAAUCACUCUAACUAAUUAUACAAAUUCCACAACACAUAGAUCACAUGCUUCCCAAGAACCCAUAAAAUUGUUCAAUGCGGCAUUUCAUCAAACAGUUGGUGGAUGGAGACAACAAAAACAAGUGUUUAACAAAAUUAUCUUAGAAACAAACACAUUAAUAUUACCUGAAGAUGGAACUCCAAUUGAACAGCCUUGAAAAAGUGAUGGAGAAACAAACAGAACAUAAAGAUUGUGGGACUCCUCAACUCCAAUAAAUCCUGCAAUGGAAAAAUGGGUUAGAAGGUGGAAAAGCAUAGUAGAGGAUUAUGAUAAUGAAAAUGGGUAGUAAUGUUUUUCAGUAGCUAUCUUUUUCUUCUUUUUUUUUUCAUGUUGUUGAUGGUUGUUCUUGAUUGUCUUUUUUUUUUUUUUUUUUUCCUUUUUUGCAUUUGGGAAAAAACAGUUUGUUGACUAAGAGGUGAUGAUGCUGGUGAGGGAAUUUAUUAAAGUAAUGAAUACUUUUUGGAGGACUUAAACAAGUAAAAGGACGAAAUGAAGCAAGCUCAAGCAACAAAUUUUCUGUUAAGUAAGCAUAAAUAUUAACUAGAGGCUUAAAUAAAAUAUUUCACCACCACACACCACACACAACAACAAAAGAACCCAGAUAUAUCGUCAUUGACAACAGAAACAGAGCAAUAUAAGCAAAAUACAUUACAAGGAAAAUAUGGAGAUAAAAGACAUGAAGGUUUCCCUUUCACUUACAAAGAGGAUCAUUAAGUAACUUCUCGUUGUUAGAACCAAUAUCUAGCAUUACUCGAAGAAUCUGUCAAUUAAACAAGAGUAAACUUAAUGAAAAAGUGUGGUUAAGAAAAGUUGCUAAAAAAUGUCACCAUUAAAUGAUAUUAGUAUUCUUAGAUAAUCUACAAAUUUCAUGAAGAAAAGACUGCAGACUUGAGAGUUACCCCCACUAUCAGGAAUACUUGCUGAAACGGGAAAAAGAUAUCGGCAAAUUCUAAAUACGGCACACUAAAACUCUCACUCUCCUGGUUCUUGCUUAAAAUCACAUGUACAUGUCAAUGCUGAUAGUGCCUCUUCCACUGAAACAAACAAAAUUUCAGUACCAAUUAAGAUGCAAAAAUAAGGUAUUUAAGAUGCAGAAAAUAAGGUAGUUAAGAUGCAGAAAAUAAGGAAACACCCCACAUCACUACAGUGCAUAACAAAUCUAUCACAUAAGCACAAAGAUAAAUACUGAGAGUAUUAGUUGAAACUUAGCAAACACAAAAAGGACAUAAGCUUAUUCUCAAAUUUCAGUACAUAUACUCAUCAAAAUUCAGAAUCUCACGUCACAAACCCGAGCUUAGUGCUCAAGGGUUGACAGUCAUGCCUUUUAUGCAAGAUCUAAGAAGCUAUGAUGCUCAUUAUUGUAAUGAAAAACUUUUGAAAAAUUUUGAAAUUUGGACAAAAUUUGAAAUCCCCAAGGUUAGACUAAACAAGUGAGCUAUUAUCCACCCUUCACUUAAAACAUUGCUUGGAAGUAGCCCAACAUGAGAAGAUAAAACAAUCUGAAUGGCAGGCGAUCCUAUAAACUAUUAAAACAAUAGCCACAACUGAUGAAAAUCAAGUUGGAUAAACAACCAUUUGAUGAAGGGAGGAUGUUGAGCUUGUCUAAGAAAAACAUACUCUUUGAGGGUUUAUGGCAGCAACAACAACAUACAUGUCCAGCUUUCCUGUAGGUAUUCCUAUUCCCUAAACUCCAAGGUCACGGAGGCCAAGAAUACGACUUCCAUCUGUCAAGACAAUCAUGUCAACCUGUAGUUGGAAGAAGAAAAUACAAUGAACUUCAAAAAUAUAUAUAUAUCUAUAAAGCAUAACAAUUAUCCCACUGCUGAAAGAAAUAAUAUUUGUUAUGCUAUGUAUAUAAUUCACAAAUUAAUAGACCAUCAUCUCAAUGUACAAAUUGUGUGAAGCUAAGGUCUCUGAUACAACUUAAAGAGGAUUGAAGAAGAGUACCAGAAGUUUUUCAUUAGCCAUCAAUCCAGGAAAUAAAUGAAGCAUCAAGCUUGUCUAAUAAACUGAACUGGGUCCUCAAUAUGUAACACAAAUUACACAAAAAUCUAGGGAGGGGGGCUAUGAUUUACAUACGUAAAAUACUUAGAGGUUUGAAAAUAACUUAUUGCAUUCACUAUACACCGAGUAAGAAGAGAACGAAGGCGACGGGAGAAAGGAAAGGGGAUAAGGAAAAGAGGAGAACAGAAAGAGAACAACGACAAGAGGAACCAAUUUAUUUUGGGGAAAGAGGUAUUUUAGGAAUUUUCAUUUUUAUUGAGGGACCGACUGUGAUUUUAACUAAACGGGAUAGUUGCAAAUUUAGCAAUUAACUAAAAGAGGAUAAAGAAGAUAAUAAACAUAAAACUGGAGAGUAUCAUUUCCUAAACCAUUCAACAUGUAGCUAAUAGAGUGGCACACCGGUAAGAGAAAUAAUCUUUGAUAUUCUAGAAGUAUAAAUAAAAUUGAAAACUAAGAAUGCUCAGUUUUACCUUGACCGUGCAAAUGGUCUAUCUUUCUCGAGUUCUAACUCCAUAAGUUCAACUUCUGCUUUUUGGUUUUUAGCUAAGCCCUUGCCCCAUUCCAACUUUAUCUCAUGUGACCGGAAGACCAGCAUCACAAGCAGCCACAGUGGGAUUUGAUAAAAACAUUGAUAAGAACUAUAUCUCCUGAGAAGUAUAUAGUCUAAAGUGGAAUUUUAAUUUAAAUCAUAACUCUUGAAUACCACCCUAAGACUUCAAUACUAUACUUUAAUUCAACCAACCACUAAUAAACAUAGAACAAGAAAUUGGAACAAGUCUGAAUUAUUAAUAUCACAAAGCCUGAAUGUUAGAAUUAUCAAUAUGAAUAAAGAUGAAACAAGUCUAAACUCAAGAUAGAUAGUUUUUAGAAGCUUUAAAUUGGUAGCUUUUCAACAUAGUCAACAAAACAUGAAGCAUACCCAAAGAAUACUUUAAUUAGCUUUAUGCAUAAAGUAGCUAAAAAGUAAGAGAAAGCUUCAUGCUAUUAAAUUAAUUGGAAACAGCAACAACAGAAAAUCAGCUUGAUUAAACAAGUGCUUAAUAAUCUUUUCAUUGAGCCAAACAAGCUGAACCACACCAUUCAUCCGAUCUAGUCAAAAGCAAACAACCCAAAUGCUGAAUUUCAUAUUGAUUCCUCCCAACAUGUAUAUAUAUCGAAACAUGAAACCAAAACUUCCCAAUUUUGCAUAGGCCUAAAAAAGACAUGAAUUUAAGAUAAUUAGAAAAGUUAUCUAGGGUACCCAAAAGAUCGCUGGUUUUUUUAAUAUUAUUAUUAUUGGAAAACUUAACUACCUGCAAGAGGAACCUCUUCAAUAGGAAGUUCUGCACCAAGAUCACCUCUGGCAACCAUUGCCUAAAAUGAAAAGAAAUAAUGUUCUUCAAUUAGCAACCAAGCCCCAGACUAUCAACAAAAUUGAAAACCUUUUAAUGAAAUUCAACAUUAACGAAGCUGUGAAAAAAUUCAAACAAUCACCCCAUCAGAAGCUGUAAUAAUUGAAUGCAAAUUUGGUAUGGAGUAUACACUUUCUAUUUUUACAAUCACAUGAAUAGCAGCAUCACAGCCUGCAGAGUCGGAUAUUAAAAAUUCAAACCCAUAAAGUCUAACUAACUAAACACAAUUAGAUUUCUAGUAGCAGUAAUUUAACACAGAAACAGAAAUUAAACAUUAGAACAUUAUUGCAUGGCAUUUCUAUAAAUUUAUCACAUGUUCUUUCUUCUUCUUUUUUUUCUUUCCUUUUUUGAUAUAACUCUAACCAUGUAGUUAAGCUUCUCCCUGUAGCAGUUAAUUAAAAUAGAGACAGAAACUAUAGAUUAACAAACAAUUGGAAGGCCUCUCGAUCAAUUUAUAUAAUAAUAAGUUCAUACUUGUGUCUUUUUGGAAGUAUGAAAAACGAGAAAUCACUAUUUUCCCUAAACGAGAAACCUCUUCGUUCCGUUUUUGUUGAUUAUUCAUCCUUGUUCUUCACAGGAAAUUCUCUCAAUUUUCUUCAAAGGAAGGAUCAAGUUCUCUCCUACAAAGGGUAUGUUUCUAAUUUUCCUAACUUUAUGACAUAAUAUGGCAGUGUUGUAUAAUGCAAAUCUACAAUAGAAGAAACACCAUUUACAGCAGAGCCAAGAAAAAUGAAGAUUAAAUAUAAUGUACUGCAAUAAAAUUAAAAUACUAAAGAAUGUGUUAGGAUGUGCUUUCUCAAUCUACAUCCUAAACCCCUAAACCCAUAAACCUCUAAACCCAACAUCCUGAUGUGCUUUUUCAAUCUACAUCGUUCUCAAAGAAACAUCCUGAUGUGCUUUCUUAAUCUACAUCCUUCUCAAAGAAAUGAAUUGAAAAAUCUCUAAAAGUUUCCUCAUCAAACAAUAUCAUCCAACAAUGUUUAAGAAGGAUAGUAAAAGGGAAGAAGAAUGAUGUAAUGGUGUUUAAAGAGGAUAGUAAAACGGAACAAAUAGUGAUUUGCCUAAUUCUUCAAAAAAAACAUUAAGUUUUGAGUUGUGGCAAUAUGAACUAGGAUCUCCUUUACAAUUGUGCUCUAAAGAUAUUGAAGACAAUUUAUAGAAUAAAUCAAACUUAUUAAUGAUAAUAAUAGAAUUAGUAAUGACGAAAUUACAUAUCCUUUAAAAUUUUUUGUUAAGUGAAAAUUAUGAGGUUUCUUUCCGCUUUUGUGUGUUCUCAUGUUUAAUUGUACUUUAUCGUACCAAUUUAGAAUUUUAAAAUGUUUUUAAUUCACUAUUUGAGGCUUCAUCUUGCCUCUUCAAGUCAAAAUACCUCACGGCCAGCCUUUGUUGAGUUAUUUUCUAUUGAAUAAUAGAUUGUGUUUUCUUUUUUGGUCAAGAGACCAAAGUAGAUUAGUUACAAUUAGAAACAAAAAGGUGGAUUUCGAUUUCCCAUAAUAAACAAUAAGAGUGGAUCACCCAACAAGUCAUAAACCUACUAUCAUUUAUGUUCCACUUGAUCCAAACAUAACAAACAAAAAUGAAAGGUUUGGACUUACUUGAGAAUUAGUGUUGAAAAAAGAUAGUUGUAUGACCUUGUUAGCAUAUGAGUAACAACUUGAAAAUGCAUCAAGAAUCUACAAAAUUAUUUAACAUUAGUAGUUAAGAUGCAGAAAAUAAGGAAACACCCCACAUCACUACAGCGGAUAACAAAUCUGCCACAUAAGCACAAAGAUAUAAAUACUGAGAGUAUUAUUUGAAACUUAGCAAACACAAACAGGACACUGAUUUGGAGCUAUGCCUGAGGGAAAAAUAAAUCAUGAACACUGAUUUCAACUCCAAGAUGCUUCUAAAAGGCUUGUCUUACACCGAUUGAGGCAAGUCCUUUCUAAACUUUCUCUUUCUUGUAUCUUUUUCAAAAAACGCUCUGUCUCAUUUGCACUUAUUUCUCUCUUCUUCUUCCACGCUUAAUGAAGAAAACCCUUAAUGAAGAAAAAAAUAAGAAAUCAACCCUAAACCCCUCAACCCAACAUCCUGGUGUGCUUUCUCAAUCUACAUCCUUCUCAAAGAAACAUACUGAUGUGCUUUCUUAAUCUACAUCCUUCUCAAAGAAAUGAAUUGAAAAAUCUCUUCUCACAGAAAUGAAUUGAAAAAUCUCUAAAAGUUUCCUCAUCAAACAAUACCAUGCAACAAUGUUUAAAAAGGAUAGUAAAAAGGAAGAACAAUGACGUAAUGGUGCUUAAAGAGAAUGGUAAAAAGGAACAAAGAUGGUAAGGAGAAAUUUAUUUUCAACUUAAUCAUGAAGAACAGUUCAACAAAAAAUAAAUAAUAAAAUAAAGGCACUUGGGAAAGCAACAAACCUGCUUCUGUAACUCAAGAAGCUGCCGCUCUUUCUCAUGAAUGUGUUCUUCAAGUUCAUGCAAAUGUUUUAUUUGCUGAGCUCUUUCAGCUUCAGAAUGAUCAUGUUCUCUCCUACAAAUGAUAUGUUUCUAAUUUUCAUAACUCAAUGACUUAAUAUGGCAGUCUUGUAUAAUACAAAUCCAUAAUAGAAGAAACACCACUUACAGCAGAGCCAAGAAAAAUGAAGAUUGUAUGUAAUGUACAGCAAUAAAAUUAAAAUACCAGAGAAUGUGUUAGGGUGUAGAGCAAAUCAUCUUCACUGCAAUUAUUCGGGAGGUUCUGUAAAGAUAAUUCCAAUACCAGAACCUUCUUACCUCAUAUAUAGUCCUUUCAUCCAACUCUGUCAACUUUGCUCUUUCCGUUUCCUGCACAUCAAAUAAGCUUCAAUUUCAACCAAACUCGUAAAGGUUACAACUCUCAGGUGAUGCUAAUUGAACGGAAGUUUAGAAACUGGGACAGGGUAUGAGCUAACUUCAUUAUGCUCAAGCAACAAAUUUUAUGUUAUGUAAGCAUAAAUAUUAACUAGAGGCUUAAAUAAAAUAUUUCACCACCACCACCACAACAACAAAAAGCCCAGAUAUAUCGCCAUUGACAACAGAAACAGAGCAAUAUAAGCACAAUACAUUACAAGGAAAAUAUGGAGAAUAAAAGACAUGAAGGUUUCCCUUUCACUUACAAAGAGGAUCAUUAAGUAACUUCUCGUUGUUAGAACCAAUAUCUAGCAUUACUGGAAGAAUCUGUCAAUUAAACAAGAGUAAACUUAAUGAAAUUCAGAAAGUGGGGUUAAGAAAAGUUGCUAAAAAAAUGUCACCAUUAAAUGAUAUUAGUAUUCUUAGAUAGUCAACAAAUUUCAUGAAGAAAAGACAACAGACUUGAGAGUUACCCCCACUAUCAGGAAUACUUGCUUGAACGGGAAAAAGAUAUCAGCAAAUUCUAAACACGGCACAGUAAACUCUCACUCUCCUGGUUCUUGCUUAAAAUCACAUGUACAUGUCAUUGCCGAUAGUGCCUCUUUCACUGAAAUAAACAAAAUUUCAGUACCAAUUAAGAUGCAGAAAAUAAGGUAUUUAAGAUGCAGAAAAUAAGGUAGUUAAGAUGCAGAAAAUAAGGUAGUUAAGAUGCAGAAAAUAAGGAAACACCCCACAUCACUACAGUGCAUAACAAAUCUAUCACAUAAGCACAAAGAUAAUAUACUGAGAGUAUUAGUUGAAAGUUAGCAAACACAAAAAGGACAUAAGCUUAUUCUCAAAUUUCAGUACAUAUACUCGUCAAAAUUCAGAAUCACACGUCACAAACCCAAGCUUAGUGCUCAAGGGUUGACAGUCAUGCCUUUUAUGCAAGAUCUAAGAAGCUAUGAUGCUCAUUAUUGUAAUGAAAAACUUUUGAAAAAUUUUGAAAUUUGAGCAAAAUUUGAAAUCACCCAAGUUUAGACUAAACAAGCGAGCUAUUAUCCACCCUUCGCUUAAAAAAUUGUUUGGAAGUUACCCAACAUGAGAAGAUAAAACAAUCUGAAUGCAGGCAAUCCUAUAAACAAUUAAAACAAUAGCCACAACUGAUUGAAAUCAAGUUGGAUAAACAACCAUUUGAUGAAGGGAGGGUGUUGAGCUUGUCUAAGAAAAACAUACUCUUUGAGGGUUUAUGCCAGCAGCAGCAACAUACAUAUCCAGCUUUCCUAUAGGUAUUCCUAUUCCCUGAACUCCAAGGUCACCAAGGCCAAGAAUACGACUUCCAUCUGUCAAGACAAUCAUGUCAACCUGUAGUUUGAAGAAGAAAAUACAAUGAACUUCAAAUAUAUAUAUAUAUCUACAAAGCAUAACAAUUAUCCCAUAGCUGACUAUUUUAGGAAUAAUCAUUAAGGAUAUAGCAACAUUUUAAAAAAAAAUGCAAAUAUAGCAAAACUAUCCCGAUAGACCAAUAUUUGCAACAUGAUCUAUCAAGGAUAGAUUUCUAUCAUUUAUAGAAUUUGACAAAUUUUGCUAUGUUUGCAAUUUUUUUAAAUGUUAUAUACUCAAUUAUUUUGAAUCUAAUUGCUAAAUUUGCAACUACGUGUUUUUUUUUAAUAUAUAUUUUAGGUUUGUUCUUCUUGUUUUUUUUCUUUACAUCAUCUUUUCCUCUUCUUCUUCUGUAGUUUUUUUUUCCAACUGUUAUUUAAUUGUUCCAAAUAUAGAAGGUCGUGCAAAAAGAUAGUGAAAAAAAAUUAAAUAUUGAAUCGAUCAUGUACAAAGAAAUUUGAAAAAAAUUGCAAAUCUAAAUGUACAUACAAUAGCCAAAUCUAAACCAAACAAUCUUGGAUCAAAUAUAAACGAUCAUAUACGAAGAAUAACCAAAUAAUAGCCAAAUCUAAAUAAUAGUUUUAGAAAUAUACUACGGUCACUUGAUAUUAUUUAAUCACAAGACCUUUUUGGUAUUUUUUAUUGUGGAUGGGUAAACUUUUCCGUUUUCAAAAUUAUUUUAUAGCAUGUAAAUAUUUAUUUCUUUGUUAUAUUUUUAAAUUUUUGCAAUAUGCAUGUUUAUGUAUUAUUUUAGUUUCAAUAUCUUUAAUAUAUGAUCUGAUAUCUAGUAGAAUUUCUUUACCGAAAACCAAGUAGAAUUUAACCAUUUUCCCACUAAAACAUUUAGCAUGACUUUAAUAUUUUCCAACCAUGAUAUUUACAUAAUUACAUAAUUAAAUUGAAUUCAACAAUUAAAUUGAAUUCGACUCAACAUUAUUUAAGACAAAUAACUUGAGUUGGGAUAACAAUGUCAAGACAAAUAACUUGAGUUGGGAUAACAAUGUCGAUCCAAUUUGAAGAACAUAUAAAUGAUAUAAUAUAAGUCUAUUAUUCUAUUUUAGAUGUCCUAAAAUUCAUAUGAUGACAUAAUCUUUUGAUAAAAUACUUUUUAUGUUCAAUGUGGAACAUAUAUAUUAUUGUUGCAAAAAAACAAGAAACAGGAAAUAUGAAAGUUAUCCUUACACAGUCUUACUUUUAUUUUCAAAAGAAACAGAAAAUGAAAAACAGAGAAGAAACAAAGACAAAAAUAAAUAGAAACGUUAUCAAACAGACUCUUAUUAAACUGAAAAACAAACACUUGUUCAAUAACUAUUUUGUCUCCAAUUUUCUUACCAUAAUUUCACAUCACAAACAAAAACAAGUUUUUAAAAACAACUUUCUUAAUUCUCAAAUUGGAUUAUGAAAACAUUUUUAAAAAGAUGUUUUAAGGUAUUGUCUAUAUAUAUGAUUAGCAAACAAAGCCUCAAGGAUUAUUUUUCUAACUAAAAAAGAAUACGAAAAUUUAAAGGAUCAAUACACCAAGUUCAUUAUACUUUCACAUCACACAUUCUCAAUAGAGGCUACAUCCAUAUAUUUGGAAAGAUGUAUAUUUUUAUUUCCUUUGAAUAUUUACAUCCUUAAUUUAAAGAUUUCGUGGUGAGGGGUUUGAUUUUCUCAAAGUAACAUUCCUUUUUGUUUGUAUUUAAUAUAAAUGACCCAAAUACUCAGAUAAUGGAAUGCCCUUUGAACUCGUUCCCGCACAAUACAGUUAGUGAUAAGGUUACUUACUUUCAGGAAGCUUUUCAAGCAACUUGGGUAUAACCUCAAACAGAUCCCCAACGACUCCAUAGUCAGCAACCUGCAUAUUAGAGACAAUUAAUUCAUUGGAAUGUAAAAACAGCGGUCAGACCAACCUCGGAUACAUUUAUAUGAAAUCUAACAAUGCAUAAACUUACACUACGUUUUGAAAUACUUAUAAUCUAGUCGUACUGAUUCGGAAUAAAUAAGAGGAUGUUGAAUUUGAACACGACAAGACUAAGACUGAUUUUACCACUUCAAACAUGACCUUAAGCAUCCAAGUUCGCCCUGUGGCCUAAACUAACAGUGAUUUUUUUCCUUUUUCUGUGUGUGUGUUUUAGGGGAGGGGGAGCUGACCUUAAAAAUUGGUGCAUCUGCAUCUUUAUUCACAGCCACAAUAACCUUAGAAUCUCUGAUUCCUGCCAAAUGUUGAAUGGCUCCUGAUACACCAAAAGCCAUAUAUAGUUUUGGUGCUACAAUUUUACCAGUUUGUCCAACCUGAUAUACACAAGAGUUUUAACUAGGAAUCAUCGAAGAAAUUUGCACUCGAUAAAAGAAUAAAAAACUAUGGAUAAAUUCAACCCACGUUAAUAUGUGUUAUGGCACUAUCCAUAUAAAAUAUUUGCACAUACCAAGUAUAUUUUCCACAAAAAGAAUUACAAAGGAAAAGAAAGGGCAAGAGAGAAGGAAUUGGACAAUUUUUUUGUUUUAGUUUUUUUUUUUUAAUUUUAUUUCUCUUUGAACUUCUGGUGGGUGGGGUGAUCUAAAAGUUCACCUUCCCUUCAGUCAAGUUCCAGUGAAAUGCCUAACUUAGUAACUUCAAUGUUCACUUUUAAUUUGGAUUAGGUACACUAACUUUUUUCUAUAUCCGUGAGUAUCCAAGCUCACGUACUAUGACUAAUCUAACAAGACAACCUGUAUGAUCCUACAAUAUUUUGGUGUCAAAAAAACUCAUAGGAAAUUAAUUCCAAAAUAGCUGAUCACCGUAGAUUGAAUCCAUGACAUUUUGCCAAUUUAUUGAGACUUUGUCUCCUUUUUCAUUAUAGACCAACCCAUGAUGGUUAAUUUGGAUUAGGCAAACUACAAUUACAAAAUUCAGAUGUAAUAAUACUCUCAACUUGGAAGGAAAAGCACCAAGAAGGCAAUUACCUGAAGGUCAUUGGGAACAAAUCCAGCAUCAACAGCAGCACGUGUGGCACCAACUAAACAAAUAAGAGAAGAAACAUCAAAUUAGGUUAUAGGAUUAGAGAAUGAAGAAAGCAACAUAUUCAUUAUUUGUGUGUUGACAAAAUUGAUUACUUUGAUACUGUAGAAUAAAUAGAAAACAGUACUCUAUGCAAAGUGUUUUGAGAUCUAAUGUUUUCUGUUCUCAUUAAUAGGCUCCGUGUGCCCCCAAGUUCCAUGAUAUUUUUAGGAAAUUUGACAAUCAAUAUUUUAUAACCAGAGAAAAAAUUAAAAUAAAUGAUGAAGGCGAUGCAGAAGGAAAAACAACUUGAAGUUCAAUUCAAAAAUUCAAACUGAAUCAACCUGCAGCACCAAGUUUCUCGGCAAGCUUCUCAAUCAUUUUGAAGUUCUCAGCGGUUUUCAAACCACGUCCUCCAGUGACAACAACACGUGCAUUUGCAAGAUCAGGACGUUCUGCUUCCGGAGAUGUUUGCUUUACGUAUCUAGAUUUUCCAAUAGAAUCUGAAAGAUUGAUAUCACUCAUUAGACCUAAACCAAGUAUCACUCAUUAGACCUAAUUACAUGUCCUAAUCCUUUGGCAGGCCACUAAAGUAAUAUAACAGAAAUUAAAAUGAUCCAGAGAAGUACUAUGGAAAGUGUUCCCUUAAUAGGAUGGAACAAUCAUCAAAACUAACUUGGGUUAAUCAAAUAAGCAGAAGCAUUCAAUUCUUGAUGUUAUUAUGGCUUCCUUUUUCUAGAGUGUGGAGAAUUAUUGGAGAUGGAAAAGUAGGCUGUAGGCUUACCUCCACCAAGCAUUGAGAGAUCAACCUGAGAUAUAGCGGACUUAUUUGAUGCCAACUCAACAGAUCUUGCAGGCACUGGGAAUGAUGUAGAUCUUAUGGUCAACAUACAAGGGUCAGCUCCUGUGUAUCUAACUGUACAAAGCGCAUUGCCAGCAUAUAUGGGCCUAUUAUGAGUUCCAAAUUGUAUUGUCAGUCAUCCUUCUUCUUUUGUAAGGAAAAAAACUAUUGCACAUCAAUUUAGAAUGUACUUAACUAAAAAUUAGGACAUGGACAAUUUAAGUGCUCCAUCAUAGUCACAAGACGAAAUUGGCAUACAAAAAAAUGCAAACUGAGGUUCGAAAAUAAAAAAAAAAACAAAACAAAACAUGGAAAUUGGAAUGUUGAAAAACAAGGAUUAGAGAAUUUAAGUAUUUCUCCACUGAAUGAAGUUCUCCACCAUAAACAACAUCAGCAGUGAAAAUUAUGUUUUUCUACAUACACAAGGAAGGUUAAAUUAGUGGGAAACACAUUUGUUAGGAUUAAUGUAGACUGUAGGUACUUAAAACAGUUCACAAAGUUGCAUAAAUGUCAAUAUAAUCAAGGAUUUAAGUCUAAAAAACAGGAUAAACCUCACAAAUUGUCGAGAUUCAGAUAUAGCUACGACAUCCGUAACCGGAGAAACAUCUAAAAGAGCGGCAGCGCGUGGAAGAAUGUUUUUCCCAAAAGAACCUGAAGCCGCAAUUACAUGAGAAAACCCAUUCUUCUGUUGAACCAAUUGGACUAACUGAGCCCAAGGUUCUGCCAAGGGGUAUGUAAAUUUAUCAGAAUCAGCAACAAGCACCUAAAUAACAUUUAACCUCCGAUAUCAGUAAUAAGGAAACGACGAAGAACACAGAUCACUCUAAUUACUCUAUCUUGAUUCUAAAAAGAUGGCAUAGGACGAAGGUUAUAACUCAUCAAAUGUUCGAAUGAGAAUAGAACAAAGCAACAACCACCAUAAAAUUCCUGGAAUUUGGACUAAUUCUAGGAGGUAAUGCAUAAAAAAAAAAAAAAAAAAAAAAGAAUAUGUGAAGAAAAAAUGUUGGGCGGUCGAAUCUCCAUGUAAAAGGCGAUAGAUAGAGAGUAAAUGAUAAUACCUGAGAAAUAGAUGGGUGGCAAGAGGCAGCAUGUUGAGCAGCUUGAUGAAGCGAAGGCCCAGAGCCCGCCAAGAGGAGGGAAAUGGAAGUGUGAGUGCUCAAGGAAGCGGCAGCCGCUAUAGCGCUAAGGGAAGCGGCAGCCGCUAUAGCGCUAAGGGAAGCGGCAUUGAUGGAACCGGAAUCGUGUUCCGCCAAAACCAAGGUGGUGACCUACAAUUCCAUAGCAAAAUGUUGGAGAGAAAUGAAAAAUGAUGAAACGGAAAUGAAAGAAAGGAGAGAAGAGCAUACAGAUCGACAAGGUGAGGAGGAGAAGAGGGGAGCAAUUGGGAGGAAGAGGAUGGAAGAAUGGAUGUCUUGAAAGCAGUGAAUAGAGUUCGAGCAAUCAUGUUGAUGGAUGAGGGAUACUCUCUCCUCUCUCUGAAAUGAAUAAUAAUAGUGUUUAGAAGAAGAGGGUGGGCGGAGGAGAGAAUGGUUCAAUGGAGGUUUGAAAGAGGAAUGCGGCACUGCUCCAUCCAGCGAUUAAAAGUUUCUCUAAUUUGAUUUUGUUACCCAUAGUGUUUAUCAGAUCCACUAGGUGGGAAUACCUUAUAACAAUUUCCUUCCCCCCAACACAAACCCUCCCGAGUUUCUUUUUAAGAAUUUUUAGACAACAUAAUUAAAUUUAAACCACAUUUCAACAAUUGGUUACUUCUCUUUUCUAUUAUUUGUGAUUUAUUCAUCAUCUAUUUCACAUUUUUUCAGUUCAUUUUUUUUUUAAUCUUCUUUUUCUUUCUUUCUUCAUCUUCUCUUUCUUUCUUACAAGUACUCCUCUUCCACAAUGUCAACAUCAUUUAAAUAUCACUUUGACAUGAUCUAAACGAUCACUUACUUAUUCAACACAAGCGUUUAACAUGGUCAACACAACCGUUUAGAUUAGAAAAUUUUUUCCAUCGUUAAAAAUAACUACAGGAUCGUGUAUACUUGCAUAAUCGCGUAUCAUGAUCCUUUCAAGUGCGUGUGUGGUCGAUGUUGAUACUACCUACACAAUCGUGUAUAAUUUCUUACACAAUCGCGUAUCAUGAUUGUUUAAAAGAAAAAUUACACACACUGCGUGUGGCCGAUUAAUUGCGUGUUGACUUGGACAUUUUUGGUAUAACUCAUUGUGAGCAUGUGUGGGCUUUUUUUUUGUUUUCAAAAUUGUUCUAUAUAGUGUAAAUUUUUCGUCGAUUUAUUAUAUUUAAAAAAAAAAUCCAUUUAUUUAUGAAUAUAAUUUAUGUUUACAAAAUUGAUUAAAUUGCAAUUUAGUUUCUAUCGUUUGAAGAAAGUUGGAGUUUAACCUAUAGUUUUGAUAAAACCUCAUAUAUCAUCUUUAUGAUUUGAAAACCUUCAUAAAUAGUCCAUACAAGCGACACUACUUUAUAUGAUUUAUCAAACCAAAAUGACUAAAUUUUAGUAAACUAUAAAGACUAAAUUCUAUUAUUUUAAAAUUAUGAGGACCAAAUUUGUAAUUUAACCUAAAAAGUUAUAUAAUUAUUAUUUUAUAUUGUUAUAACGUAUAAUACAUUAGAUAAUGCAUAUUAUUAUUGAAAAAAUGAAUUGAGUUUAUAACCCAACAUAUAUUCUAAUAAAUGACUACUAUAUGAUAGAUCAUGAAAUCACAUCGCACACCCUAAAUCCGGUACACCUAAACAAAAUUAAAGUAAUAAGAGAUGUUACGUAGGGACAAAUUUAAAAUGAUUUUUGGGCUCAGAAUGUACUAUUUAAGUUGUACUUCAUGGUUUAAUCUUACUAAUAACUGAUUAUUGAUUUUUCAUAGACGGGUUGUUAAUCAUGGUUUGAACAAUUUGUGGUCAUUUUCACAAUCUAGCAUGUGUUAAGUUUAAUUGGUGGUUCACUAGAGUGGAAACUUCCUUUGGUACAACAUAGUAGAUUGAAUACACUGCACGACAUGUUUACACUGUUUACCUCUCUAAAGAAUUAUGUUUAAAAAAAUGCUAAAUUGAAUUGGACAUUUAGUUUAGCAUGCAUCAAAGCAGAAUCUAAGUGCUGAGAAGGCUAAGGGACAUCAUGAUUUCAUUACAACAGCAUAGGACGUCUUACAACCUAGGAAUAGAAAAAGUUGACUCACUUUAGGGAUAAAGAAUUUUUCAAUAAAAUGCAUGCAUGAAUUAGUUAACUAUGGAAAGUGGAAGUUAAGCACUGGGAGCCAAGUCAAAUGAUCCAAAGGAUUAUUAUACAGAGAUACAUUCUGACCAAGUUAUGUUAGUCAUGAUUGAUGUGAUCUCAUUAGCUGUUUUGCAUUGCUAGGAAUGUUGAGGCACUACUACCCUUACAAGUUUGGGUUAUCCUUGAAACACACUCAUCACCAAAAUUGGUGUUUUGCAAAAUAAUUUCAAACUACUCCUUGUGGAGCUUCGACACUUGGGAAUAUCUAGGAAUUAUCACUUCUUCACCGUGUAUACUUGCAUUUAGACCUUCCUCACUUAUCAUAUCUUCAUUUAUACACAAAAGGGAAAUCAAAUGUUACUCUUGUCAGACAAACAUCAUGAUUGUCAACGACCAACCAUUAUCAUCAUUAAUGAUCGAUUGUCGUACCUAUUCACAAACGAUAUUAAUGAUGGUCAAUGACCAAAUGUCAUGACUUUUGAUGAUUGAUUUUCAUGACAGUUGACUACCAACCAAUCAUCUCUAUAGUUGGUGAUCAUUGACAAUCUUCACCAUCAACAAACGAUCAUUGACCGUCUUUACCAUCAAUCGGUGACCAUUGAUCGUCUUUACAUCGGCAGGUGGUCGUCUUGAUCAUUGAUAUCGAUGCUUGAUCGUCAUGACUACUAACAAUUGAUUGUUAAUAUCAAAUUUUUUACUAGAAAAAUAAAAUUACAAAGUAUAAAUAUAUACUUAAUCCAUAAAAGAAACUGCUGCAACUAAUGAGUGGCAUAUACGAUAUAAUAUUUUUUAAAACGUUGGCAAUCAAAUACUCCAAUAAUUUUUUUUCACGAUCUUAAAAAACUAAAUAACAGUUUGAAAAAAUAGCAUGAUCUUGAGCCAAAUAACAAUUUGAAAAAAAAAAUUACAGAUGAAGAGAAAAAGACGAUGAGAAGGAAAAAAAAUUGCAGAAGAAAGAUAUGAAAAAGAAUGGCAAAUGGAAAUAUUUAAAAAAAUUGCAGAAGAAGAUAAAAAGACGAUGAAAAUAAAAAAUAUCGCAGAAGAGAAGAAAAGAAAGACGAUGAUAAGAAAGGGUAAACCCAUAAUUUUUUUUUAAAGAAAAUGAUCGGUGUUGUGGAUCUUUUCAUUUUGUUACAUGGACCGUAAAUAUUUUACUGGUUUAUUAUUUUUAUGAAACUUAACGUUUUAUAAUUCUAAUAAUCAUUAUAUAUUAUUAUUAUUUUAGUCCCCAUGCCUAAUAGAUAGUAGCGGCAUGUGAAAGUGUAGAGAUAUUGACAAACCUAUAUUUACCUAUCUCUCCACUCCUUCCAAAACUUGGGUGUCCCAUGGACAAGUAGUCCUUAGUUCAAAUCUAUAUAGAAAAAGAAUAAUUAUUAGAAUUAUAAAAUAUAUUAAAUAAUAAUUAUUAUUAAUUUCCAAUUAAAACAUCAAUUAUAAAUCAAUACAAUGAUAGUCAUUCCCCACACAAAUUAAUACAAAUACCUCUAUUUAGUAAUAUAACAAAUGUAAACGAUCUUGUACAAAAAAUAAUAACCAAAUAUAAAUGAUAGUGUAUAAAAAAAUCUUGAAAAUAAAUUGUUGAGAUUUGGCUACCCAAAUUUAAACGAUUAAAUUAAACGACCGUGUACCAAAUAUAAACGAUCGCGUACCAAAAAAAUCUUGAAAAAAAUCGUUUAAAUUUGACCCAAAUCUAAAUUAUCGUAUAGGGAAAAAUAGUCAAAUCUAAAUUUUUGUUUCCCAAAUAUAUUAGGCGAGUUGGAUGUCAAUCAAUCACGGGACAUUUUUUGGUAUUUUCCAUUGUAGGCCCGUGAGUUUUUUUUGUUUUCGAAAUUGUUGUAUGUCGUGUAAAUAUUUUGUCGCUUUGUUAUAUUUUUUAAAAGAUCUCAUUAUAAAACGUAUUGAAUAAUUAUUAUUAUUAAUUUUCAAUUGAAACAUCAAUUAUAAAUCAGUACAAUAAUAGUCCAUUUGCAACAAUUUAUUGUGACAUUUUUAAACGCUAUAAGUAAUUGUUGCAAUCAACUCUAUUGCAACCGUUGUUAAAAUUAUUGCAACUUAAAAUAUCAAACUUCGAAGAGAUGUCGAGAUAUUGCCGACAAACUUGAAUAUUUUUUAAAAAACAAAAUUGAAAAAACACUAGGGUAAACGUGAGAGAUGGACGCUUACCUCACGUUAUCUCUUUUCUUUAUUUUCUUAAUUAUUAUUAUUAUUUCUUUAUGAUUGGUUCAUGCCAUAGUUUUUCUUUUUUGGAAAAUAUUGCAUCAGAUAACAAAAAAAACAACUCAUAACACCUAUUUUUUGCAUAUUGCAAAUAUGACAGCUAUGAUAAGUAAUUAAUCAUAUCAGACGGUUAUCAAAUGAAUAUCAGACAGUUAUCAUAAGACUAUCAGAGGAUUAUUGCUUUUAAAUUUGCUACUUUUGCAAAUUUAGAAAAUGUUUUGACAUUGACUUUAUUAUCAUAAUUUUUUUUGCUAUUUUUGCAAAAGUCACUUAGAGAAUUGAAAACAAAAUGAAUUGGGUUAAAAUUUUCCAUCACCAUCAACAAAAAUAAAUUUCCACAAACAAAAACAUGUAUAGAAAAAUUACAAUAAAAUAACAAAAUAUAUAUGACAAAAAGAAAGUGAAACAAUUAAUAUAAAUAUUAAUAUUAACUUUAUAUUUUUGCCCAUCAAGGAAGGUACUUGAUUGUGGUUGUCUAUCAAGAAAAACAAUUUGAAAAAUAAAUUACUUACUUAAUUUCUUUAAGAGUUCAUUACCAUUAAGAAAGGUUUUCCUUGAUGGUCAAUGCUCAUAGAGGAAGAGUCGUUUUUGUAAAAUGGGCUCAUCAACAAAAUUAAUUCUUUGCCCAUCAAGGCAAACCAAAUUGUUUUUCCAUGAGUUCUUGAUGGGCAAUGCUCAUCAAAUAAUAAUGUAUUUUUUGUAUGUAUUGUCCAUCAAGCAAUGCUUUUCUUGAAGGUUUUAUCGUCAAGAAUCGCCCCAACCCAAAAACUUACGUAUUUUACUAUUUUUGCAUAUGUGUCUACAAAAUAAGGGAUCUUUUCUUAACGGUCAGGACUAUCAAGAUAAAUCUAGAAGAGAAGAUAAAUAAAUCGAAAAAAAAGAAAAAGAAAAAGGGGAAAAAUACAUAAUAAUAAAUGGAAUUUAUGAAAAAAUAAUCGGACUUCAUGGACUUUUUUUAUUUUAUUAUACGGGUCAUAAAUAUGUAGAGGUUUUGUUACAUUUAUGUAAAUUAAACUAAAAUAAAUGAAAAAUAUGAAAAAAAAACGAAAAAAAAAAGUUAAUUUUCAUAAAUAUAACAAAACACCAAAAUAUUUACAACGCGUGUAACAAAAUAAAAAAAAGUACAUGAAGUCGACUAUUUUUUAAAAAUAUUUUAGGUUUGCCCUUUCUUUCCAUCUUUCUUCUGCAAUUUUUCUUUUCCUUUCCAUUGUCAUUUUCUCUUCUACUUUUGCAAUUUUUUCAAACUCUUAUUUGGUUCAAAAUUGUAUACCAAAUAUAAAAGAUCUAUUUUUUUUAUAAAAAAAUUCAAAUUUUUAUUUAAUUGUUCAAGAUCGUGUGCCAAAUAUGAAAAAUCAUGAAAAAAAACAUUGUAAUAUUGAGUAGACAAAUCUAGACGAUGAAUCUUAAAAAAAUCGUUUAGAUUUGGGUAGUUGAAUCUAAACGAUCUUGUACCAAAAACUCUUUUAAAAAACCUGUUUAGAUUUAAAUCUAAAUGAUGGUAUACAAAAAAUAAUUGAAUCUAAAGAAUUGUGUACAAACAAAAUCUUGAAAGAAAAUUGUUUAGAUUUGGAUACCUAAAUAUUUAAACAAUCAAAUCUAAACGAUCGUGUACCAAAAAAUCUUAAAAAAUAAUCGUUUAGAUUUGUGUAGCUAAAUCUAAAUGAUCAAAUCUAAACAAUCAUGUAUCAAAAAAUAGUCAAAUCUAGACAAUCGUUUAUCAAAUAUAUUACUUGCACUGGGUGCUAAUUAACAAUCAUGUGUCAAUUAAUAACGAACAUUUUUGGUAUUUUCUAUCGUGGACAUGUGGGUUUUUUCCGUUUUCGAAAUGGUUCUAUAUCGUGUAAAUAUUUGGACGCGGGGUUAUAUUUUUUAAAAUACUCCAACAAGAAAAAGGUUUUUAAAAAUAUAUAUACAUAAAAAGAAACUGUUUACGAUCAAACAGAAAAAACCAACUAAAACACACCAAAAUCUAUUACACAUCCUAAAUAUUUCAUCUAUUUUACUUCUUUUUUAACAAUUUUUCAUAUAUAUAUAUAUUUGUUUUAAGUUUAAUGGAGUAUUAUUGAAAUCUCAACUAUAAAAAUGUUACAUUUGGAAACAAAAAAAAAAAACUAAAUAGAAAUUAUAUCUAAAACAAAGGGAACAGAUAGAUACUUUUUCAAAAAAAUAUUAACAAUAAAUGUAUUAGAAUUUAUUAUAAUAGAUUUGAAAGUAUAACAAUUUAAAAAUUUUAAAAAUCAAAAGUUUAUUUAUGCAUAGAUUGAUACGUAUAUUGCAAAGAAAAUAAAUUAUUUGGUAGCUUUAAUUUAUGAAAACUAUAGCAAAGACCACAAUUUAGUAAAUAAACUAAAAAAUUUGCACAACCAUAAAAUAUUUAUAAAAAUAACAAACAUUGAUCAGUGAAUUUAAUUUUUUUUUAUAAUGUUAAGUUUACCAUUACGUGACUAUCUAAUAGAAGUUAUCACUAAUAGUUGCUAUCAAUAAUAGCAACUGAUAACAUAUUUCUCAAAUCGAAAGUUAUCACUAAUAACAUCUAUCAUUGACAGCAGCAACUAUAAAUUGCUAUCACUGAUAAUUGCUACAAAUGAUAGCUUUCAAUUUUAAAAAACUCAAGAAGAAGCACUUGUAAUGGUGGUAAAUGAAAAAUUAUCAUUGAUAUCAUUAAUUAUCAAAGAUAGCAACUCAUAACAGCCAUCGGUGAUAAUAGUUUAUAAUAGUUAUUGGUGACAACAACUUAUAGUAACUAUAUGUGAUAUUCACUAAUUGUCGCUCUUAGUGAUAACACUUAAUGGUAACUAUCAGUGGCUAUCAUUUAUAGUUGUUAUUAGUCAUAGCUUUCAAUGUGAGAAAAUCAGAAAUGUGUGAAGCUAGUCAUUUCUAAAAAAAAAAACUAUUAGUGAUAACUUUUAAUUUGAGAAAUUUGGGAAGAAGUGCUCACAAUGGUAACCGUGUGUAUUUAGUAUGUUACUAAAUUUUGUGCUAUAUAUAUAAUUUAUUUUAUCAUUGUAUUAUACAUGUGUGUGGUUUUUUUUUUCAAAAAUAGAACAAAACGCGAAAAUAUUUAUACUACAUAGAAUAAUUUUAAAUAGAAAAAAAAUUACAACAUGAAAUAACAAAAAUACAUAUUAAUUGGUUAAACACGUGUAAAAAAAUUAUGCUGUACCCUCAAUCCUAAAGCUAAUAAAUAGUUGGUUUUAAAACAAUUUUAAUGAUAAAAAAUUAAAAUUAAAUGACUAUUUUUGCAAUGUUAAGAGUGAUUGAAUCAUAGUCAUAAACUGAUAUAUGAGUGUAAUAAAUAGUUGGUUUUAAAACAAUUUUAAUGAUAAAACGUUAAAAUUAAAUGACUAUUUUUGCAAUGUUAAGAGUAGGAUUGAAUCAUAGUCAUAAAGUGAUCUAUGAGUGUAAUUCAAUCCUUUCACUUUGCCACGUGCAUCACUAUUAUUAGCUGUCCACUAUGCCACUUGUAUGGAAAAGUUUGCUUUAAAACAAAUUUAAACUUUAGGGGCUAAAACUUAUUAAAAUUUAGGGUUGAUGGUCAUUUUUAUAAUCUAAAUUAAAUUGUUUCAACAUAUUAUAUUCCUCAUUUAUCUUCAGAAAAUAAGAAUAUUUGAAGAAAUUAAAUGAUAUUAAAUCCUGUUGUUUAAAACUUGGGAGAUAAUUUUUGAAAUGAUGCUUGGAUAAACGGCAAAGUUAAUUCAAUUAAUUUUAAAUAUGGCAACACUAAUAUGAAUUUGCAAGCACACUUAUAAAAAUAUAAACUUAAAAAGGUGAAAUUCACCGGCAUAAAAUUUCUCUCUCUUACAAUGUAUCUACUACAUAUGUCUAGCUCUAAUUAUACCAAUUUUGUUUUAGAUCUUUAUUGUCAAUUUACAUAUAUCGUAUAUUGAUGUGUGAUUUCCCUCCAAGAUGAUUGUCGUCUGUAGUCGUAGAUUCUAAAUUCUUUAGAUAGUACUUGGAGUUAGAACAACUAAAGGGAGUUGGAAUUGUUAGAUUUUAUGUCCUAAAACACGUAGUUUGAAAUUUAAAAUCAUAUUAUAUCCAAUAAAAUGGUUAUUAAGGGCUUAUUUCUUGAAAAAAGAAGAAGCAAAAAGUUUUUCUUUCUUUGUAAAAGCAGUCUUGAGACGAGGGUAAUUUUGGGAAAAUUAAAUGUAGAUUUACCUUUUUGCCCUUUACUUUUCUCUCACCUUUUCAAUAUAUUUGCAAGAUGUCAUCACUUUCCUUUCUUUGUAUUUCUUUUGUUGCAUGGUUCACCGAGAGAGUAAGGAAGAAGAAAAAAAAUGUUUCGAAAGGGGGUUUCUUAAUGGAUGAAGUUUAUAGAUGAAGAGAUGAGAAAAGUGAACAAGAUGAAGUUUAUAGUGAUUCAACACAUAGCCUACAUCAUCACUCUUCAUAGGUAAAAAUCCUUUUAUUCAACAUUCAGUGUGAAAGUGAUAGAACUAAGUCAUGCACAACGGAAAAAGAAUCGAAUUUCUACCCUAAUUGCCACAAUUAACAUGUAACCAUAAACUAAUCAAAUUAGGGUUUUAAGAAAUAUUACCUUUGAAGCUUUCAAAAGGUUUGAUAUCUUCUUACCAAUUCUAACCGAGACCACCACUAGUACUCAACUGCUAUCCUCUAGACAAAGAACCGGGUUGUGGGACCCAAUUUUGGUGUAGAAAGUAAUGGAGAUAAAAUGAGAUUGGAAGGUUUUUUUUUCUUUUGUUGAGAUGAUGAAAAUGAUAAAAGAGGCAAAAAAGUUCUUCAACAUUUGAAAACACCUCUAUUUAUAACCUAAUUACAUGCAAAAAUGCAUGCAAUUCAUUUGCCAAAUCUCAACACCUAAUGUUUCACUAACAAUUAGUAGAACUUAGUGGGCUAGGUGUCUAUAUCUCAUAUAGCCACAUAUCCCACUAAGAGUUCGUGGGAUUAUCCAACAAAAUGUUGGAUUUUCCCACUAACUUAGUCCAAGGGUAAAAUGGUCAUUAGAUAUUUCUAGUCAAAAAUCAAACUUUUGACUUUUUACCAUUUUGUCCGUCUUGACUAAUUCCAACCUCCCGAUCAUGAAUCCACAUUCAUUUUUCCAAAAUUCAAAUCACAUUUGAAUAUAAGGCCGGUCAAAGUUUGACUUUUCAAAGUCAAAAGUCAACAUUUUGACUUUUUACUAUUUUUGACCAAUUUCAUCAAUUCCAAGCUUCUUAGUAUUAAUCCGCAUUCAUACUUAUAGUAUGUAAAACAUAAAGCUCUAUUUCUAAUUAGAAGACCAAUAAGUCUCCCACUUGUCCUAGUGGUAUGAGAGAUGUGGUGUGAGAGAAUAUAAAACUAGGGCACAUGGCCAAUAAGUCUCCCACUUGUCCUAGUUUACAAACAUCGUAGACCUAAACUGUGUAGGUGACCCUCAAACACUUUAGCCGUGAGGGCUUUUGUAAAAUGAUCAGCUAUACAAGUUUGCUUUAUGCUUCUCCAAACUACUGCUCCUCCAUUUAGAGUAAAUACUGAUCCUGAUGUAGACUUUCUAACAUCUUUAUCAGUUUGGAAAUCUGAAUCAGUGUAUCCAGUAAGGAUCAGAUCCUUUGUACGAUACAUGAGCAUGUAGUCGUAAGAUAUAGAAUGUUUUUAACGGCUGUCCAGUGAUCACGUCCAUGAUUGGAUUGAUACCUACUGACCAUCCCUACUGAGUAGCAAAUGUCAGGUCUAGUACAUAACAUUGCAUACAUUAAACUUCCAACAGCGGAAGCAUAGGGAAUAUUUCUCAUAUCCUCAACUUCUUGAGGUGUCUUAGGACAUUGUUCCUUUGACGAAUGAAUUCCAUAUCUAUACGGCAACAGACCUUUUUUUUGGAAUUCUGCAUUUUAUAUCUAGACAACAUUUUGUCUAUGUAAGAUGCUUGAGACAUGGCUAGUGUUUUGUUCUUACGGUUUCGAACAAUUUGGAUUCCGAGAACGUAUUGUGCAUCUCCCAAAUCUUUCAUUUGAAAUUGCAUAGCUAGCCAUUUCUUGAUAUCAGUAAGAUAUCCUACGUCAUUUCCAAUAAGUAGAAUAUCAUCUACAUAUAAGACUAAAAAUGCUAUAAUGGAAUUGACGACCUUUUGUAAACACAAGGCUCGUCAACAUUUUGUUCAAAGCCAUAAGAUUUGAUCGCAGUAUCAAAUCUUAUAUUCCAGGAUCUAGAAGCUUGUUUUAAUCCAUAAAUGGAUUUUUUAAGCUUACAAACCUUUUGUUCUUGAUCUUGUUCUAUAAACCCCUCUGGUUGAGACAUAUAGAUACUCUCUUCAAGAUUACCGUUCAAAAAAGCUGUCUUGACAUCCAUCUGCCAAAUUUCAUAAUCAUAAAAAGUGGCGAUGGAUAAGAGUAUUCUAAUUGACUUUAACAUGGCAACGGGAGAGAAAGUUUCCUCAUAGUCUACUCCCUCUCUCUGGUAUAACCCUUUGCCACAAGUCGAGCCUUGAAAGUCUGUACUUUACCGGCAUGGUCUCGUUUUCUCUUGUAGAUCCAUUUACAACCAAUAGGUUUUACGUCAUUUGGUUGAUCUACUAGAGUCCAGACAGAAUUAAAGUACAUAGACUCCAUUUCGAGGUCCAUGGCUUUGAUCCAUUGGUCACGAUCUACAUCUUUCAUUGCCUGUUUAUAGGUUAAUGGAUCCUCUAUGCCAUCGUCAGGUAUGACGACUUGAGUUUCAAUUAAACCCAAAUAGCGAUCAGGCUGAUGAACAACCCUCCCACUACGUCGAGGCUCUCUCAACUGUUGAGAAGGAUGUGAUUGACCAGAUUUCCUAGUCUUAUCAACUACCUUAGUGGAUGAACUAGGUUUAUCUAUAAGCACUUUUUGGGAAAUUUCUUUUAAUACUAGUUUACUACGAGGUUGAUGAUCCCUGAUGUGGUCUUCCUCUAAGAAUGUGGCAUUUGUUGACACAAAUAUUUUAUUUUCUUGAGGAUCAUAAAACAAACCACCUCUUGAUUCUUUUGGAUAACCUAUGAAAAAGAAUUAAAAUAAAAAGCAUAAUUUUGAACGAUGUUCCAAUUUCUUAGGAUUUUGUACCAACACGUGUGCUGGACAACCCCAAAUUCUAAAAUGACGUAAACUUCCUUUACGCCCUUUCCAUAGCUCAUAAGGUGUUUCUGAAACACUUUUAGAGGGAACAUUAUUCAAAAUAUAAACAGCUGUUUCUAAAGCAUAUCCCCAAAAAGAAUCUGGCAUCUGAGAAAAACUCAUCAUAGAGCGAACCAUGUCUAACAAGGUCCGGUUUCUUCUUUCUGAUACACCGUUCUGUUGAGGUGUACUAGGUGCAGAGAGUUGUGACUGGAUUCCAUUUUCUAUUAAAUAGUCUCGGAAUCGUAAGUCCAUAUACUCUCCACCUCGAUCUGAUCGAAGUAUUUUUAUUGUUUUACCUAAUUCGUUUUCUACUUCAGCCUUAUAUUCUUUGAACUUUUCAAGACUAUUAGACUUAUGAUGUAUUAGGUAAAUAUGACCAUACCUUGAAUAAUCAUCAAUGAAGCUAAUGAAAUAUUCAUAUCCACCUCGAGCUUUGACAUUCAUUGGUCCACAAAGGUCCGAAUGUACGAGCUCUAAGGGUCCUUUUAGCUCUUAGACUUUCCAGUAAAAGAUCUCUUGGUCAUUUUUCCUUCAAGACAAGAUUCACAAGGAGGUAAAGUAUUAUUUUCUAACUGACUUAGAAGCCCACUUUUAACUAAUCUCCCAAUCCUAUUGAGAUUUAUGUGACCAAGUCUUAAGUGCCAUAAAUAGGCAUUAGAAGAAACUUUUUGUCUUUUAUUCUGAGUUUCAGCUGUUCUGAAUAUUUCAGUAUUUAAGACAAAAUUUGCUCUGGUUGGUCUUAACUUAUAUAAGUUGUCUUCAAGUAUAGCAGAACAAACUAGAAUACCUUUAUAGAAAACGAACGCUUCAUUAAUUUCAAAAGAUAUUCUAUACAUUUGUUCCAAAAUACAAGAGAUAGAUAUUAAAUUUCUUUUCAUUUGAGGUACAUAUAAGACAUUCUUAAGUAUGACAUAUCUAUCUCUAAAAAACAACUUUAAAUCUCCCACUGCUGAAGCUGAGACCAUCUCUCCUGUUCCAACCUUGAGAGUGAUCUCGCCUUCUGAAAGCUUUUUCCAAGAACUAUUUUCCUGAAAUGAGAAGCAAAUAUGGUUUAGUGGCUCCUGAAUCUAGUAUCCAGGUACAAUUUUCAUAUUCCACUAAACAUGUUUCUACAACUAGUAAAUCAUAUUUACCUUGUGUUUCCUUCUCUGCCUUUUUUUCUGCAAGGUAUUUUGGGCAGUUUCUUAACCAGUGCCCGUUUUGGCCACAAUGGUAACACUUACCUUUUUCUGCACCUUUCUUACCCUUGUUCUGUUUGGGAGUCUUUCCCUUUCCCUUCUUUUUUAUUUGAGCAUUAGGUUUUGAGGGUCCAGCUUUGGUUUUAGAGGACGAUCCUCUUAUAAAUUUUCUUUUUGUGGUAGCAACAUUUGCUUCCACUUGUUUUCCUUUACCCAUAGUAAGGUUUUGGAAUCGCUGGAGUUCAUUCAGAAGGGUUGUCAAGUUAAAUUCUAUCUUGUUCAAAGACGCAUUCGUUUGGAAUGGAAUGAAGCUCUUCGGAAGAGACUCUAAGAUAAAACUAACUUGAUUAACCUCUUCGAUGGGACCACCAUUCACUUCAGCGAUGUUGAAGUGCAUCAUCAUGUCCAGAACAUGUUCUCUAACAGAGGUCCCUUCCUUCAUACGCUUAGUGUAAAUGUAUUUGACUGCCUCGUGUCUUAAGGACCAUUCUGGUUGCCCAAACAUUCCCCUUAAUGAAUCCAUAAUCUCUUUAGCCGUGGCUAAGGAUUCAUGUUUCUUUGCCAAUACAUCAGACAUGCUGGCAAGAAUGUAGACACGGGCUUUUUCAUUAGCUUUUAUCCAUCGAUCAUAUGCAUCCCGACUAGUUCGGUUAGCAUUAGAGGCAGGGUUUUGAGGACAUUCCUCAGUUAAGACAAAUCUUAAAUCGUCAACCACUAGUAUUGUGUUAAGAUUUGAUUUCCAAGCCGCAUAAUUAUCGCCAUUAAGUUUUUCGGAAGCUAAAAGUUGAACUAUUGAGCUAUUCAUGCUGAAAAACAAACAUAUUCUUUUUAGGAAAAAACUAUAAUCAUAAAAAAUAUUCAAUCUAAUUUAGCAAUUACUAAUAAUGUACCCUUUCAUUAUUUGUAUUUUGCAACAAUAUUUCAAAGGUUUAGAACAACCUUCUCCGAAGGGUAGUUGAUUAUUCCUCCUUUGAACCAAGACAAUCUUCACUAGAUGGUAUCUCUAGAAUAACUGCUUAUUCUUUAUAGCACUUAGUUAUCGCUACUUUAGUCAAGAAUAGUGAAGUUUCCUCUCAUUUUUUUAUGGGCUUUUUCUUAUGUAUAUUGCAUAUGUUGUUUGUUUUUUUUAGCUCUUAAUUGUUUCACUGUUUUAUGUUUGCAAGUCUCUCUAUUCUUUGUUUGGUAUGCAAUGUGGUAACUAGGUCUUGCUAGAACCGGUGGGCUAACCUUUCUAUGGUUAUAGACUUAGUUUCUAAGUUUGACUGCUCCCUUCGGAGUGACAACAAGCCUCGUUUUCCCCCUACUAUGGAACGGGGAGGAUUCCUCCUCUUUUCAAAGCCCUCGUCAAACUCAAUGCUAAGUUUGACUGCUCCCUUCUGGAGUGACAACAAGCCUCAUUUUCCCCCUAGUGUGGAACGGGGAGGAUUCCUUCUCUUUUCAAAGCCCUCAUCAAACUCGAUGCUAUGUCUAGAACGCUAAGAGUAGGUGGCCUGGUUUUCGUUAGGCCAAAAGUGAAGUUUCCUCUCAUUUUUUUAUGGGCUUUUUCUUAUGUAUAUUGCAUAUGUUGUUUGUUUUUUUAGCUCUUAAUUGUUUCACUGUUUUAUGUUUGCAAGUGUCUCUAUUCUUUGUUUGGUAUGCAAUGUGGUAACUAGGUCUUGCUAGAACCGGUGGACUAACCUUUCUAUGGUUCUACACUUAGUUUCUAAGUUUGAGUGCUCCCUUCGAAGUGACAAUAAGUUUUGUUAAUGUCCACCCUUUUCUAAAGGGAUUUAGUUCAUUGUGGCUAGACAAACGGCUCCUAACUCAUGUUAUUUGUUAAAACCAUCUCAAUUUCUAAAGAGUACCUCCUAUCCUUUUUUAACUCUAUCUAGGCUAGGUUUGGACCAAGCGCAUCAUAGGUAAGUCACAGCAACGCAACAAAGGAAGACAAAGCUAGAAAAGCAUCCAUGCAAUCAAGCAUUCACAACACACAUACCAUUUUCUCAAUCAUGCAUUCACAUCUGAACGAGAUAUCGCUAACAUCUCAAUAAGAUAUCGCUAAAAAGGGACGUAAACCAAAAAAGACGGCAGCUUAUGCUCAAAUUUCAGCACAUAUAAUCAUCAACAUUCAAAAUUUUACAUCACAAACCCAAGUUUAGUGGUCAAGGGUUGCUAGUCAUGCUUUUUAUGCAAGAUCUAAGUAAGCUAAUAAGGUAUAAUGCUCCUUAUUGUAAGGAAAUUUUUUUUAGAAAUUUAGAAAUUUGGGCAAAAUUUGAACCCCAAGUUUAGACUAAACAUGCAAGCUAUUGCCCACCCCCACUUAAAAAGUUGCAAGCUUUUGAAAAUCAAAGUAAAGGGAGAAAAAUAAGGGGGAACUUUGUAUUGGCCAAGUGCCCUAGUUUCAUAUAUAUUCUCUCACACCACAUCUCUCAUACCACUGGGAAUUUUAGUCCAAGUGGGAGUUUGUUGGAAUUUUUUGUUCUAAAACUCGUAGUUUGUAAAAUCAUAUUCUGUUCAAUAAAGUUGUUAUUGAGAAAUUAAAUAUUAUAAUCUUAAAUCCAAUAAAACUAAGUUCCAAGGCUAUUUUUAAAUAAACUUGAACUUUAUGUGUAAACAUAAACGUGGAUCAAGUUCGAGUAUAUAACCUAAAUAGUCUAUAGUAUAUGAAAUAAAGGUUGGACGCCUUAUUUAGAGAAACUAUGGAUGCGGCCCACUUUGUAGUACAAACGAGGUGAUCCUAAUAGUUCAUGUAGAGACAUGAAAGUGGGGGCAUCCUAUGUAAAAUGUUUACAUAAGAUUGAACCAUAAAUUAGUCUUUUUUACGUUAUAACACCGUUUACUAUUUAAAACUAACUAUCUCAAUUAUUGAUGACCUAGGUAACUUAGUCUUAAUCCUGAGUUAACUAUGAACUCCUGUUCACACGAGAUUAUCCUUAUAUCUGCAUAGGUGAGGGCAGCUCAUCAGCGUUGGCCCAAUAAGCCUCCCAUUUCAGGGGUAAGAUCGGGUGGAUAGCCGAACAUAGGGUACAAGAUGGAAUUCACUCCUACCCGCUUUAGGGUUAGUAGAUAGGUUGUUCUCUUAAGCACUGAAUCCAAGUCUUGAACAAGGGGCCUCACCCUCUCAUCGGCCCGAGAGGGAUUAAGUUUAUAGGUUGAACCUUAAACCAAUUGUUCAAUAGUGGAUUAGUGGGACUUAAGGAGCAAGAUGUAAUCUUGGGGGUAAAACGGUAUUUUGACCCAGCCAAGGUUACGAGCAACCUGUGAAGGAUUAACUUACUGAUUAUGGUUUUAUCAAAUGGACACAAAUAUAUCUAUAGUGAGGGGAGUGCAACUACGGGACUUUAGUGGAAUGACCCGUUAGUUAACGAAUGUUGAUUAACUCGGUUUAAAAGAGUUUAGCUAGUUAAUCUUGAAUCGUUGGAGCCCAUGAUCUAUAGGUCCAUUAGGUUCCUCUGCUAGCUCAUAUGGAUUAAACUUAGAACAGUGAUGAAAUAAGUCGAAUUGUUCGAAUUGGGAGAAGAAAGGGAAACCGACAAAUAUAGUGAUAUAGUCGUCGAUCUUCUAAUUAGAAAUAGAGCUUUAUGUUUUACAUACUAUAAUUAUGAAUGCGGAUUCAUACUAAGAAGCUCGGAAUUGAUGGAAUUGGUCAAAAUAGUAAAAAGUCAAAAUGUUGACUUUUGACUUUGAAAAGUCAAACUUUGACCGGCCUUAUAUUCAAAUGUGAUUUGAAUUUUGGAAAAAUGAAUGCGGAUUCAUGUUCGGGAGGUUGGAAUUAGUCAAGGCGGACAAAAUGGUAAAAAGUCAAAAGAUUGACUUUUGACUAAGAAAAGUCAAAGUUUGACUUUUGACUAGAAAUAUCUAAUGACCAUUUUACCCUUGGACUAAGUUGGUGGGAAAAUCCAACAUUUUGUUGGAUAAUCCCACUAACUCUUAGUUGGAUAUGUGGCUAUAUGAGAUAUAGACACCUAGCCCACUAAGUUCCACUAAUUGUUAGUGGAACAUUAGGUGUUGAGAUUUGGCCAAUGAAUUGCAUGCAUUUUUGCAUGUAAUUAGGUUAUAAAUAGAGGUGUUUUCAAAUGUUGAAGAACUUUUGCCUCUUUUAUCAUUUUCAUCAUCUCAACAAAAGAAAAAAAACCUUCCAAUCCCAUUUUAUCUCCAUUACUUUCUACACCAAAAUUGGGUCCCACAACCCGGUUCUUUGUCUAGAGGAUAGCGGUUGAGUACUAGUGGUGGUCUCGGUUAGAAUUGGUAAGAAGAUAUUAAACUUUUUGAAAGCUUCAAAGGUAAUAUUUCUUAAAAUCCUAAUUUGAUUAGUUUAUGGUUACAUGUUAAUUGUGGCAAUCAGGGUAGAAAUUCGAUUAUUUUUCCGCUGUGCAUGACUUAGUUCUAUCACUUUGGACUCCCCUGGAAGGAUCGACAUCCUUGACUUUGGUUUGAAGCUUGCAUGGAUAAACCUCUUCAUUUCUUUUUCAUUGAUUAAUUAUCCUUGUUCCUGAAAAUCAAAGGAAAUUCUCUCAAUUUCAUUUAUUACUAAAAUUAGGAUAAUUAUAGUAACUGUAUUUUUAACUCUUUUGGUAGUUUACGUCUUGAGUGUGUUUUCAAUGAUAUUUUUAUAUACAGUACAAAGUUUAGGGGUAUUCUGUAUAAUGGAACCUCUUUGACACAAAAAAAAUAAAUUCAAACCCAUGAAGUCUAACUAACCGAACACAAUUAGAUUUCUAGUAGCAGUAAUUUACCACAGAAACAUAAAUCAAAGGUUAGAAAAUAAUUUAAUGGCAUUUCUAUAAAUUUAUCACAUGAUCUUUCUUCUUCUUUUUUUUUCUUUCAUUUUUUGAUAAAACUCUAACCAUGUAGUUAAGCUUCUACCUGUAGCAGUUAAUUAAAAUAGAGACAGAGACUAUAGAUUAACAAACAAUUGGAAGGCCUCUCGAUCAAUUUAAUCCACAAUAAGUUCAUAUUUGUGUCUUUUUGGAAGUAUAAAAAAUGAAAAAUCGCUAUUUUCCCAAAACGAAAAACCUCUUCAUUCCUCGUUGAUUAUUCAUCCUUGUUCUUCAAACCUCAAGCCUUAAAAUUGAGGAAGUAGAGGAAAUUCUCUCAAUUUACUUCAAAGGAAGGAUCAUGUUCUCUCCUACAAAGGGUGUCUUUCUAAUUUUCAUAACUUUAUGACUUAAUAUGACAGUGUUGUAUAAUGCAAAUCCAUAUAGAAGAAACACCAUUUACAGCACAGCCAAGGAAAAUGAAGAUUCAAUAUCUUUUUCAAAAAACGCUCUGUCUCAUUUGCACUUAUUUCUCUCUUCUUCUUCCACGCUUAAUGAAGAAAACGCUUAAUGAAGAAAAAAUAAGAAAUCAACCCUAAACCCCUCAACCCAACAUCCUGGUGUGCUUUUUCAAUCUACAUCCUUCUCAAAGAAACAUACUGAUGUGCUUUCUUAAUCUACAUCCUUCUCAAAGAAAUGAAUUGAAAAAUCUCUUCUCACAGAAAUGAAUUGAAAAAUCUCUAAAAGUUUCCUCAUCAAACAAUACCAUGCAACAAUGUUUAAAAAAGGAUAGUAAAAAGGAAGAACAAUGACGUAAUGGUGUUUAAAGAGAAUGGUAAAAAGGAACAAAGAUGGUAAGGAGAAAUUUAUUUUCAACUUAAUCAUGAAGAACAGUUCAACAAAAAAUAAAUAAUAAAAUAAAGGCACUUGGGAAAGCAACAAACCUGCUUCUGUAACUCAAGAAGCUGCCGCUCUUUCUCAUGAAUGUGUUCUUCAAGUUCAUGCAAAUGUUUUAUUUGCUGAGCUCUUUCAGCUUCAGAAUGAUCAUGUUCUCUCCUACAAAUGAUAUGUUUCUAAUUUUCAUAACUCAAUGACUUAAUAUGGCAGUCUUGUAUAAUACAAAUCCUUAAUAAAAGAAACACCACUUACAGUAGAGCCAAGAAAAAUGAAGAUUGUAUGUAAUGUACUGCAAUAAAAUUAAAAUACUAAAGAAUGUGUUAGGAUGUUAGCGUAAGCAAAAAAGUAAAAUCAAUGGCAAAAGAAGGGAAAAAUUGAAGGGCAUCAACAAAAAAUGUAACCUUUAAGUUGCUAUUUCCUUAUCUUGUUCCCACAGAAGAUCAUCCUUGGCCCAAGCCUGUGAAGAAAUUAUAGAAUAAAAGGGUUAGUGAAGAUAAAAACAGAUCAUUACAAAACAUUCUUAUGCAAGCAAAUCAAGCAUGAGGGGAAAAAAAAACACCUCGCGUCGUUGUCUAAUGUAAUUGAUUGCAAUUCCUUAUCUUUAUCUUCUAUUUUCCUUUCCAGUUUGCGGAUAGCCUGCUGUCUUUCACAUAGCCUGUUCCUGUACAGCCACAAAAUGUCUCAUUGAAGUAUUAAAGUAGUCUACAUCUAAAUAGUGAUUAAGUUUUGAGUUGUGGCAAUAUGAACUAGGAUCUCCUUUACAAUUGUGCUCUAAAGAUAUUGAAGAUAAUUUAUAGAAUAAAUCAAUCUUAUUAAUGAUAAUAAUAGAAUUAGUAAUGACGAUAUUACAUAUCCUUUAAAAUUUUUUGUUAAGUGAAAAUUAUGAGGUUUCUUUCCGCUUUUGUGCGUUCUAUGUUUAAUUGUACUUUAUCGUACCAAUUUAGAAUUUUAAAAUGUUUUUAAUUCACUAUUUGAGGCUUCAUCUUGCCUCUUCAAGUCAAAAUACCUCACGGCCAGCCUUUGUUGAGUUAUUUUCUAUUGAAUAAUAGAUUGUGUUUUCUUUUUUGGUCAAGAGACCAAAGUAGAUUAGUUACAAUUAGAAACGGUCUUCAUACCUCCCGCUUAAGUGGGUUAGAAGAGGGAGGCUCGCUUCCACCUAGCCGGCAAGGGUUUGGAAUCAAGAACCAUGGAGUCGGGAUCUGACGGUGAGGGUGGAACAAAAGGACUUUGGAAGACGAAUUUGGUUUCCGAGGGGUCUGCCGCUCUUGAUUCUGGCACCGUUAGGGCUAGGAGAAGACGAUGGCGUGGAUCGGCAAGAUGGGCAACUCACAGAGAGCGAAAGAGAAUGGGAGAGGGAAGAGGAAGUAGAGAGAGUUACCGUUGGAAAAAGUCUAUAUUACCCUCAAGUUAAAAAAUAUCCUCAAAUCAAUUUAUGAAUCCUCUCUUCUCCUUCUCCCUCCGUUUUUCCACUUUCUAAAAAUAUUUCAUUUUUCUCUCAUCCCUUCUUGUAUUUCAUUUUCCCUCAUUUUCACAAAAUUUCCUUUUUCUUCCUUUUCCAUUCUUUAAUUCGUUUUCUUGAAAUUCCUUUCUCAAACUCCUCCCAUAGUCUCCCACCGGCCUUUGAAAACCAUGUCGUUCCUUAUCACCUCAUUCUUUGCCUUUUUCAAGCUUCUUCCUUUCUUGAAAUCAAAUCUUCUUUCAUAGAAGUCAUUUAAGCUCUCACAGCUCGUUGUCAUGGUUGUCUCCCACUAUGUAUCAUCUUCGAUAUCUUUCUUAGUUGGACUACGUAGCCAAACAACUCGACAUCUACCACACAAUGUUUAGCGGCAUUGGAGGUUUUUGCGUAGCUUGCUAUGUCUCUCUUUGGCUCAACCUUCCUCACCAGAACGUCGUCGCCCACGACUUUCUCUGUCAGAUUUUAAAGAAGGUAUCGUUCAGCUCCAUAAGACCUAAUUGUCGACUAACAUCGCGGAAGCAAAUGGUGAAGAUGGUUGGUCGAUUUUAGAAACUUGCAGGUUGUUACUGUAGCUAAAAUUGAGCAAUAAUUUAAAAAUUUUGGUAGAUUUCUACCUAAUGAUGUGUAUUUAUUAGGUCUUGGAGGCCCUCGCUUUUGAUUAUUUGUUUGGAUUGGCUCACAUGGAUGGUUCUUGAUGCAUUUGUUGGUGGUGCCAUGAAUAGGAAGGGAAAGAGGGAGAGGUAGUUACCAGUCAGAUGCUCUUAAGGGACGGUUUGGUUCUCAUAGUUUGGUCGAGGAAGCAGCCAAGAUGGAAGUGACUAUGGUCAGUUGAGAGGCAACGGUUUCCCUCAGUGGUACCACAAGGUUCAAUAGUAAUGUUAAUUUGUGGGGAAUUGAUUAUCAAGAUAAGAAUGUACUUUUCCCCCUUAGAUGGUUUUUAAGAUGCAAUUCAAGUGGAAUUUUUUUGACAUUUCAAGUACAAGCACUAGUUAGACAAUGGGAGGGAAAUAGACUUGAGAGAUGAAGACCCUUUUCAUUAAAUUUUACCGUUUUGUGGUAGUUCCGUAGUCAUUAGGUGAAUAUUGUUGCCAUUUUACAAUCAAAUAAUGUAUAAUUGAGUGAGCAUCUUGCCAAAUAAAUGAACAAUUUAGAUCCUUGAAUGCCAUUUUUUUCAUCAUGCUUUAUAGUAAGAUUUCGUUAAUCAAAAUCAAUUAACAACUUGAUUUAUGAGAUGUUUGAAUUUUGAAGUUUAGUUUGAAAAAAAAAAACUCAUGUGUUGUGUAUAGUUGUUUUUCAAGGAUAACGUUCGAUCAUGAUACAUGUAAGUCUUUCGAUGUGUAACAAUAUCAUAGUGGAGUAUGGAAAAAAAAAUUAAGUGAAUUUUUAUUUUAUGUUUUAGUUAUUUUUCUAAUUUUACAAACAUAUAUAUCCCUUUUAAGUGGGUCUAUUCCGCACGCAUCUCAAACCUAUCUCACAACAUUUUACACAUUUCAAACUUUCACUAUGAGUUUCACAAUCAAAUUGCUACCGUUCCUAAGUUAUCUCGCACGCAUCUCGCACACAUCUUGCACCCAUCUCGCACCUAUCUCGUACACAGGUUAAUUUGUCCUAAAUGUCCUAAAUCUUGCAUCUAUCUCGCACCUAUGUCCUACCUUUUCUUCUUCUUAAUUUGCUUUCGUCAAUUUGUGCAAUUCUUUCUCAAAUCUUUCUUACUCCAUUUGUCACCGACCAUCAGGUGCAAUGGAGCAACAAAGCAAACAACAAAGAGUGAAAGCAAAAGAAAAAGGUCAAUUCUCACAUGAUUAUUUUUAACAUUCUACUUCCACCAUAAGAAAAAUUGCCAUAACAAUUAUGUGAACCAUACCUUGAUCUUCAAUGCUCGAUUCUUGCAUGCUUAUCUUGAUACUCGUUUCUUAUUUUUUGAUUGCUCAACUUUAAUUUCUAUCAAUAUGAUAGAGUGGGAAUCAAGAACGAGUAGCAAAAGCGAGCAAGUGUCAAGUCAUCACGAGCUAUAACAAGAUUAAGUUGCAAGAAUCAACUAUUAUGAGUUGUCAUACAUAUUUGUUAUUGGUAAUUUCACUUAUAAUAGCAAAUGCAAAAAAAAAUCUAAAAUAUGGAUCCUUUUUAAAUUUUAAUGGAUGAUCCAUCAACAUUUGAAAUUUAUCGAAUUUUGUGUCCACAAAAACAUUGUUCCAUCUAAAAAAAUCUUAUAUACAUGACAUCCUUGAUAUUCUAAAAAAGAAAGUUUGAAGACUUCAAAUAUAUGUGUAAAUCUUAUAUACUCUAAAAGAUAUUUUCAAGGCCUAUAUACACAUAUACACAUGUACACUGUAGUCAAGUAGACUUGGUUGGAUGUUAUUGUGACUGUACGAAAUCAAUUAGAGAACUUUGAGAUGGGUUUUUGAUGUUGUAUUGAAGUGAGUUCAAUCAAAGCUUGGAAAAAGCUUUCUUACGAAGGUAAGGGGGCGGUCAUACACUCAAUUGAGGGGAGUAUAAGUACAUUAUAUUGAUGGGAUCCAUACAAAGCUUGAAGAAGAGAGUAAUCGUAGGAGUGAGGAGGGAGAAGUUAAAGUUAAAACUAAAGAAUAAGCUAUAGAGAUAAAUACUCCAUUGUAAUUUAACUCUUUAUAAGUUGAUUUUUUUUUCUAUUAGGGCAUACAAUCCUCAAAAUAGUAAGUAAUAUUGCACUAAACGAGUUAUGAAUAUUUUCGUCUCACAAUCUCUUUGUUCUUCUUUGAUAUUAUGUUAUUAUAUUUGUCGGCAAUUUUGUUACGCAACCAUACCCUAUUUCUUAGUCAUCUCUAAAAAAUCUUUUUUUUUCCAUAUAUUGACUUUUCUAUGUAAUUUCUUUUCAAAGUGCAUUUAAGAACUAAGUCCCGUAAUUUAAUUUGCCACUAAAACCACUUACUUGAACAAUUGAUUCAUUCGUGAGAGAAAAUUAAAAUUUAAUCGAAGGAAGAACUUUUUUUUAAAAACAAAAAAAGAAAAAGUUAAUAUAUUUCAAAAAAAGAGUAGGUAAGAUUUAGAGAACGUGUUUUAGGUCGGUCAAAGAAAUUAUGUUUUGAUCUCGAUUAAAUUUAUUUUUUUAGUACAAUAAAGAUCAAAAGAUGUGAACUACAAUUUUUUUGGUCACAACUCAUCGACACAUUUAUAUUAUCCAUAAUAUGAUACUUACCUAUUUUACUAUUCAAAGCAAUCAAAUUUACAUAGGAAUCUUUUUGUAAGAAUGAUUUGUUCACGAGGUCUUUUACGAUUAAUAAACUCGUCCCGUCGUAAAGGAUUCUAACAUUUUUCUUACAUCAUAGUGCACUACUACAUUUUAUAACGCGAUAACCAUUCCUAUUACGGUUUUAGAUGAGAAAAAUGAAAGAAUGUGCUAGAGAUGAUCGUCAAGUUAAGGCCAUGUAUACAUUAUAAAAAGCAAUAGUGAACUAAGGAUAAGUAUAAGUUUGUGAGGGAGAAGUGUUACAUGGGAAAUUAACAAAAAAAUAGGAUAAUUUUGAAGGAUUUAAAAAGUUUUAGGAUAAAUUUUAAAAAAUAUGACAUUUAAGACAAAUUAACUAGGAAAAGUCUAUAUUACCCUUUAGUUAUAAAAAAACCUAAAAAGCAAUUUAUGGAAUUCCUUCUUCUUCCUCCAUUUUCUCACUUCCAAAAAGAAUAUUUCAUUUUUCUCUCAUCUCUCCCUGUGCGUAUUCCAUUUUUCCUCAUUAUCACAAAACCUUUGAUUUCUUUUUUCUUCCUUUCCCAUUUUUCAUUCACAAAACUACAAAAAUAAUGAUAGUUUCGGUGAUUUCAUUGUGGAACAUUCACAAAGAUGUGUAUGAGAUAGGUGCGAGAUGUGUACGAGAUAGGUGCGAGAUGUGUACGAGAUAGGCUAAGAGGGAUUAAAGAAAAGUUCAAUCAGUUUACAAGCCUAGAGGAUUAAUAGUAGAGAAGAAAUGGAUGAAAGAGAAGAAACGUAGGUACCAAAAGUUGAAGGAAGGAAAAAGAAAAGAGGAAGGAGGAAAUUAAAUGAGAGUAUUUUCGUCAUUUCACCUCUAAUUUGUCCUAAAUGUCAACUUUUUUACAAUCAAUCCUAAAAAUCUUUAUCUACCUCAUCUUUUGCCUAUUUUUGUCAAUUCCCCAAGAAAGAUGGAGAAGAAAUUUGACGGGGAAUUGCCAAGAAGAGUACAAAUUUGACCACAUUUAAGACUUUUGAGACCAAAUUUUAAAAAGAAGAGUUUUGGGACAAAUGGGUAUGUGAAAUAUCUAAAUUACCCUUUAGUUUAAAAAAGCUCUAAAAUUUUGAAACCCACGAUUUCUCCUCACGCAACACAUAUUCUGCUGCUCGCAGGUGACUCCAUUUACAGAGAUAACAAAUCCCAACCAACAAACGGAGACAAUCGAUCAGAUGGAGUGGCGGUGACUUGGGUAGCAACGACGUCUAUUGGGCGACUUGGACAACAACAACAAUUUCUAUGGAUUGUGUGUCAACAAUUUCUAUAUCUUUCUUUCCAUAGAUUUUUUUCCUCAUUUUUAUUGCUUAUAUGUUACUUAUGUAUACCAGGUAGGAAAUUUGGCUGCUAGUUGAAGAUUGGACAACUAGUGGAAAGCAAGUAUCAAACAACGCUUGAUGGCUUAUUAAAAGCAAAAGAUAUGGACACACAUGGUGUAAUUAGCUUUAGGGUAAGCAUUACAGAAACUGGAGUUAUUGUUUUGUAUUUAUUUGAACUUAUGUCGAACCAUUUAAUUGUAUUCUUGAAGUUGAUCAUUUGUGAUAUAGAUGCUAUAAUCGAUGUAAUUGAGAAGAAUUUUGUUCUUUCAUUAUCUUUAAUGUAUUAUUCCAACCCUUACUAGAUAGGUGCGAGAUGUGUACGAGACAAGAGGGAUAACAAUUUGAUUUUUAAAUUAAUAGUAAAAGUUUUAAAAUGUGCAAGAAAGGUGUGAGAUGUGUACGAGAUAGGUGCGAGAUGUGUACGAGAUAGGUGCGAGAUUUAUACGAGAUAGGCUAAAAGGGAUUAAAGAAAAGUUCAAUCAGUUUACAAGCCUAGAGGAUUAAUAGUGGAGAGUCGUGGAGAAGAAAUUGAUGGAAGUGGAAAAGAAAUGGACGGAAGAGAAGAAACAUUCACCGGAGGCACCAAAAGUUGAAGGAAGGAAAAAGAAAAGAGGAAGGAGGAAAUUAAAUGAGGGUAUUUUCGUCAUUUCACUUCUAAUUUAUCCUAAAUGUCAACUUUUUUACAAUCAAUCCUAAAAAUCUUUAUCUACCCCAUUUUUGGCCUAUUUUUGUCAAUUCCCCAACUUUGACGGUAGAGGGUUUUGUAUAAAAGGCAAUAAUAAUAAUUCCUAUUCUUUUUAAUAUUAUUUAUUAAUAAAAAUAAUUAAAAGUUUAAAUAAUCCAUCACACAUAUACUUCUUAUCAGUUAUUAGAAUUAAAAAAAAAAAAUUAACAAAUAAAAUUUGUAAAAUUAUCAUACAUUGAGAACAAAAAAAAAAAAAACAUUUGUGAAAUAAAAAAAAAACUGUAUAAAAGAUAAAAAAUGAAUUACCUUAAUUUUAAUAAUAUUUUAUAUCUUAUCUUGAAAGAUAUAAAAAAUAUUAAAAUGUAUCUAUCUCGAAAUAGGUUUUCAACUACGUCCCAAGUGGAAUAAAAAAUUGUUACCAAACUCUUAAACAUAGAAUUUCAUAAUCUCUCCAUAAUUUGUACGUUAGUAUGAGUUUGUAGAGUGUGUUUGACCCAUGAAGUUAGAAGUAGUGUAUAAAAGUAGAAGUUGUAAAAUCCAAUUCUUGGUUGACCUAAAUAGUUGGCGGAUCAUUAUUAGAAAUUUAAUUCUAAGCACUCUACUUGUCCAACAUUACAAUUUAUUCAAUUAGAUAGUUAAAAAAAAAUGAAGUCACAAGGUUCUUUAUUAAUGUCCCUAAAAUUCCUUCUUCCGUCUAAUGCUACAAAUAUGAACAAUCAGCAUUCACGAAAGGACAAAAAAUGAACUACAUACAGUACAACAAGAAAACAGAUAAAGUCAAAGCCAAAGUACACUGUAUUGAUGCCAAACUUGUUUACGAAGCUCAUGAAAUAGAAGUUGAUGCAGACCAUUGGUUGUUUCACACCAACUACUUUUCUAUAGACAAAUAGCCUACCCAUAAAUUAAGAGACAAUAACCGAGGAGAGCAUAGAAGUUGGAAGGUAUUUACAUUGUUGUUGAUGCAAAGAGAUAGUAAGCAGAGGUUGUUAGAGGAUGUGGAACUUAAGAUCUACAAUAUGGUGGAUAAAUUAUUUGGGUCAAUAGUUAUAUUUCAGAGUUUGGAAUGAUGAAAAGAGUUUAUAUACUGUGAUAUUCCAUUCAAUAUACUUACCAUAAAAACGAGGUAGAAGAAAGGAAGAAGAAAGACUAACCUUGAAUCAUUAGCUUCAAGUGUCUAACAGUAGCAAAGGAUGGGCUGGUAGACGACGAACCCUAAGCAAAACCAAUGUGGACGACGGUGAGAGAUCAGAAUGUUGUUGUAAAAUCGUGAGAGGCAGGGUAUCACAGUCGUCGUGUUGGGUUUUAGCGUGGCUUUAGCAGUCGUGCUAGAGCGCACUAGAGAGCAAAAAGAAUUAGAUUGAAAGAGGCCGAAAAUGGGGGAAAAUAUUUGGAGGGAACUUCAAUAUUUAUUUCCCACUUUUUCUUUGUUGUUCUUUUCCACAUCCUAUUUAAAAUAAUGGGCUAUUAAAAGUUCGUUUUGGUGUAGUGCUAUUUGUGUCUCGAAUCGUCCAUUUUCGUUCAAACUACUUUAAAGAUACAAGUAUUAUAACCAACAACACGAUCGAAAGAAUUGGUCUAUGCAACUUCAACCUACGUGGCUUUAUCAGGUUCACACACACAAUGAGUGACUUUCCUUCGUUUGGAUCCAUUUCGAAAAUUGUACUCUAUGGCCCAAAAUGAAAGGCCCAUCGUCUAUUUACUCGAAUCCUAGCAAUAAUUUAUUCUCACUUAAAAUUUUAAACGUAUAUGGAAAGCCCACAAUGCUCGACCCAAAAUUAACGGAUAAAAAUACCAAACCAUAGUCUUGCCUAUUUGGUAGUUAAUUUGAAUCUCAAAGCCCGACCCCGAUUACAAGAACACUCUCUCAUGAGAGACCCCAUUAUAAGAACACAUUCUCAAAGUUUUUAACCACUCAUACUUUUUAUCCACUCUCCAACUAGAUAAUACAGAAGGAAUUUAAUUAGAGUAAUCACACUAAAACUUAAAAUGUUUAUAAGUGAGAAUUUCUAAAUAAAUGAAAUAGGUUUCUUUUAUAGGCUUUGAGUCUCACUUUUCUAAAAAAGAGAUAACCACAUCUUGCCAAACCCAAUACUUAAAAACAAACAAAUCAAAUAAUUAUUUUUACAAAAAAAAACUAAAAAAAUACAAGUCGAUUCCUAUUUAUUAAAAUAAUAAAGAAAACCAGUUACCAAAAUAUGAAAUUUGUUUUUAAAAAAUCUACAUCUAAUGAUCUACCAUUUUCAUAAAUUAAUAAUUCUUUUGUGAUUUCACAUUGAGAUCAUAAAUAACUUAAAAUUACCAUGUCGAAGGAAAUUUUGUUCGACAAGAGCCUAACUUAUAAAUGAAUGAUGGAAAAUAAUAUGGUGCAACCUUCAAAACAACAUAAAUAAGAAAAUAUUGCAACAUAGUUAGCAAAUAAGAGAGAAAGAGAAUGUAACCUGAAAAGGAAGUUUAUGAUUAAUUUCAUCAUUGUUGUGGUUUUGUCCAUGAUCUCUUUAAUAUUUUCUAUUAUCUUCAUUGCACUCCUAGUAAUUGAUACCCUUAGGCAACCACUGCUCAACAUCCUUCUUACAAAAAAAAUAGGCAAAAGACGAGGGGGCUUGUAGAGGUGAAUAAAACAAAGGGGGCAGAAUAGUAAAGGAUAAUGAAAACACAAAGAAAUGUAAUUACAGGGAGAACUAUUUGUGGGAGAAAUGGUAGAAUAAUUUGUAGAAAUUUGAUCGUCUUUUUUAUGUUAAGAAGACAAGAAGAACAAAGGAUAACAUAAAAGCAAAUUAGAAAUUCUGUGGAGUUAUUACGGGAAAAAACUAGCUCUGAGAGAAAGCUUGAAGAGAGAAAAUAAAUGAAAGGUACUCUGAUUUUGUGGACAAUGGCAAUCCACAACUCUGUUGUACAUUAUUUAAAAUAGAAAAUAGAAACUAGAACAUGAACCUCAUUGAUAAAUAAACUGUAGCCUAACAAAAACCCUAAACCCCGAAUCCCUAACCCCUAAACCCCUUUGCUAUAGUAAAUGGUAUUUAAAAAUCUCAAAUUAACUAUCUUAAACACUAUUUCAAAUCCUCAAUUUCCUAUAAUAUUUAUUAUUUACUACGAUAUUUGUUAAAUUAUUUUUUUGUGAAGUUACAAAACUAUACUUGUUGAAAUACUUUGAAAAUUAUUCAAAAGAGAUGGAAAAAAAAAAGAUGCAGUGGAAAAUACAUCCACGUAUAUUUUCACAAUUUCAAAAUUAAUUUGACUAAAUACAAUUUAAUUUAGUCAAACCCUAAACCCUAGACCCGUAAACCCCUAAACAAACUCUUUUGUGAAUGAUAUCUUUGCGCCUAUAGCUCCUUUGACCGGAGGUUAUCCCCUUUCCUCUCAUACUCUACUAGACUCUAUAAACUCCUAAUACUAGGAUUUUCAUAAUUCGAGAUCCGAACAAGGAGUUAGCUAUUUUAGUCAACUCCCUUCCUUGCAAAUCUGGACCCAAACACCCCAACAUGGUAACAAACGACUAUAAAAAAAAAAAAAAGUAAUAUCCACAAAAAUAGACAUGGUCCAAAUUCGAAAAAUACCUGUUUCUUGGUGAUGGAAUUGAGGGUUUGGGAGUGAUUGUGGUGUCCCCAUAGUUAGCAACCAUAUUGGUGGAGAUCAAGUAUUUGGUGUAAGUUAACAGAAGGUAUGAAGUAGAUGUUACAUAUUGCAUAUUACUGUCGCUCAUUCUGAACAGCAACCCUCCUUCACAAAACGGUAGGGGGGAAGGGGUUAAACUUCAUUUUCUUUUUACCAUUUUACCGAUAAUAAAAAUAAAAAAGUAGUCGUUGAUCAUCAAAAUAAAAAAAGACAUGGAGUGUAUUUGGGGCAGGAGAAUGAUUCUCCGAGAAUGAUAAAGCAAAUGGCGCUGUUGUUGGGGGUUCUUGGCACGGUGUAGGAACUUUAGUUGAACCUUGCUGAAACUUUUGUUAGUUAAACAAUUGAAAGCAUAUUUUUAUUUUUACAAUAAUAGCAGCCAUACACACAUAUAUAAUAAAAGUUUUACAUAUUCUUAUCUCUUGAAUUUAUCUUUUCUUAAAUAGUACCAUAUAGAAGAGAAAAUAUAAAAAGAUCGCAUGCUCCCUUUUCCUCUUCUUGCUUAUAGUUUUGCACGAUCUUUACUCUCUCCUUGGUUUUUGAUGCAUGUCUUCUGCUCUAAAUAACAUAGAAAAUUUUGAAGACAUGAUAUGAUUAAAUAAAGAAGAUUAAGAAGAAAGAAAGAAACUUAAAAGAUAAAAUAGUUUAGGGCAAAACAAUCUUCAAGAAGAUCCACCCUUAGAAACACAUACCUGAAACCGAAACUUGAAACAGAACCUUGAAACCUUGAACCCCAACAAACGAACCACAAAACCUCCAAACCUUUCAACCUCAAAACCCGAAAACUCCUAAACCCAAAACUUGAAACUCCAAACGCUCCAUCCCGAUGCUCGAAAUCACGAACCUCAAAUCGAUCCAUGCACCCUAAACCCCGAAACCUGAAACCCUAAAAUCCAAACCCCCAAACCCCAAAACUUCUAAACCCAAAACCUCGAAACCUCAAACUUCAAACCUCAAACGCUCCACCCCGGAGCCUGAAAUCACAAACCCCAAAUCGAUCCAUACAUCUUAAACCCCGAAACCUAAAACACGAAACCCUAAAUCCCUAAAAACCGUAAACCGUAAACAAUAAACCCUAAACUUUAGCCCCUAAACCAUAAACCCUAAAGUACCCCAAAACCACAAACCUCGAAACCUCGAAAAGUCUAAACCUUGAAACCUAAAACCCCUAACCCAACCCUCAAACCUCCAAACCCCCAAACCCCAUGAUAUAACUAAAUCAUGCAAACCGGAAAAACGAAACGCAUUUCUACCCUGAGAGCCUGAAAUCACAUGUAACUCCAAACUGAUCCAAUUACACCCUAAACCCUGAAAACCCCUAAAAACCUUAAAACCGUAAACCAUAAAUCCUACCAAUUUUAACCCUUAAACCACUAGUACUCAACCGCUAAAGUCUAACCAAAGUACCGGGUUAAACCACCGAACCCUGAACCCCAAACCAACGGAGAUACCCUGGAACCCCAAACCCUCAAUUCCCCAAUCUCGAAACUCUGAAAACCCUCAAAGAUCCUAAACAUCUUAAACCCUUGAAAGUACCUCUAUUUAUAACCUCAAUACACGCAAAAACCCCUGAACCUUGAACUGUCGAACCUCCACACCUAAUGAACCACUGACAAUUACUGAAACCUAAAACCCAAAAACUACAAACCUCGAAUAGCCACAUAUCCCACUAAGACCUAGUCCGAUUACCCCACAAAACCUUCCAAACUCCCAAACCCCUAAACCCUGGGUAAAAUCGAUAUCUAAAACCUGUAAUCCUAACUUCAAACUUUGACUUUGGUGGUAGAUAACAAUUUCUAUUAUUUAGGGAGUACCAUUCUAUGCAUUUUGCAUUAUUGGAAUCUGGUUAGAAAUUUUUAGUAUUCAUUAUUCCAUGAUUCGAAUUACAUUUGCAUUUUGGGUAGGUCAAACUUUGACUUUUCAAAGUCAUUGGUCAACAUUUUGACGUCUCAGAAUCUAAUAACCAAUUCCAUCAAUUCCGAGCUUAUAACUCUGAAUCCGCAUUAAACCCUAAACCCUGAAACCCAUAACGCUCCACCCUGAAUCCCAAAAUCGACGACUAUAUCACUGAACCAAUCCAUGCACCUUAAACCUCCGAAACCUAACAACUCGACUUAAACCCUAAACCCCUAAAAACCUAAAACCGUAAGACCUAUCAGAGGAUCCUAAUGGACUUUUAGACCCUGGGCUAAACCGAUAAAACCUAAAGUACCCGAACCCGAUUAACCCGAGUUACCCAAAAUUCCUUAAAUAACGGGUAAAUCCACUAAAGUACCCCAAUUGCACUCCGAACACUUGAACCAGAACUGUGAAACCAUUUGAUAAUCCCAAAACCACAAACUUCGAAACCUCGAAAAGUUGCUAGUAACCUUGGAAACCUCAAAAUACCUCUAUACCCAAACCCAAAACCUUCCAACCUCAACACCCACUAAUCCACUAUUCAACAAUUGGUUUAAGGCUUCAACCAAUAAACUCAAAACCUCUCGGGACAAUGAGACGGGUGGAGCCCUCGUUCAAGACCCAGACCCCCAACCUCUCGAGAACAACCUAUCUACUAACCCUUAACCCCGUAAGACCGAAUUCCAACUUGUACCCAAACCUCCAAACUCUCCACCACAAAUUACCCCUGAAACGCCAAACUUACUGGGCAAAAUCUGAAGACCUGAAAUCACCUAAGCAUAUCAAACUUUGAUCUGGUGGAGAUAACAAUUUCAUAGUUAUUUAGGGAAUAAUACUAUGUUAUUUUGGUCAUCAAUAAUUGAGUAUAGUCAGUUUGAAAUUUUAAACGGUGUUCUUACAUUAUGAUUCGAAUUACAUGCAUUUUGGGUAUCAAACUUUAAUUAAUAUUGGUCAUCGUCUCGAAAUCUAAUAACACACAGCCUUAAAACUCUACCCUCAACCCUAAACCCUGAAACCCCAAACGCACCACCCCAAAGCCCAAAAUCACGAACCUCGAACCAGUUCAUGCACCCUAAACCCAAAAAUUGAAACCGUAAAUCCCAAAUCCUCUAAACCCCUAAACUCCUAAACCUCAAAACUCGAAAUCCGAAAUCCGAAACCUGUAAUCCUAACUUCAAACUUUGUUGGUGGAGAUAAAAAUUUCUAUUAUUUAGGGAAUAUUCAUGGAUUAGUUUGAAAUAUUGAGUUUUUUAUUAUGAUUCGAAUUACAUGCAUUUUGGGUAUCAAACUUUGUUUAAUAUUGGUCAUCGUCUCAGAAUCUAAUAACACCCAGCCCUAUAACUCUAACCUAAACCCCAAACACUCCACCCGAAUCUCGAAAUCACGAACCCCGAACCGAUCCAUGCACCCUAAACCAGAAAUCUGAAAUCGCAAACCAUAAAUCCUAAACUUUAACCCCUAAAUCAUACACCCAAAGUACCCCAAACCUCAAACCACGAACCCCAAACCUCAAUCCCGAAACUGGAACCCAAAGUCCUAAACACUAAACCCUAAAUACCCCUAACCCUGAACCCUAAACCUCGAACCUCGAACCUGAACCUUGAACCUGAAACCCUGAAGCCAAAACCACCAACCUCGAAACCUCGAAAAGUCCAAACCUGGAAACCCAAACCGCAAACCUUCCAACCCUCAAACCCCAACCCCCAACCCCAACCUCAAAAGCUCGAAAACUCUAAACCUCGAAACCCAACCCCUACCUCUCAAACCAUCAAACCCUAAACCCUAAACCCUAAACCCAAAACCCUAAACCCUAAACCCCAAAACCCCAAAACCCCAAAACCCCAAAACCCCAAAAUGACCAAAUAAUCCUUAAGUGUAAGUUCGUAACUCACAAACUAACAAAAAGUUCAAAAUGUGUGAAAAUGCACUUUGAGACCUAAAAUGGCAACCAAGUAUGCAAGUGAAACAAACCUAGUCUUAAACAAAUCUAAAAUUUGUUCAAACUAUGUUUAAGUAUCACUUGAACUUUCAGAACGACCUAAGAACGUUUACUUGUAAGUUUGUCACUCAUAACCUACCAAAAAAUUCAAAAAGUACGGAAAAGAAAAAAACACUACAGGACCCAAAAUGGCAACCAAGUGUGCAAGUGCAACAAACUUAGUUCCAAACGAACCUAAAAAGUGGUCAAGGCGUGUCUAAGUAUUACUUGGACUUUCAAAACGACCUAACAAAGCUUAAGUGUAAGUUGGUAACCCAUAGCCUACCAAAAAGUUCAAAAAGUGUGAAAAGGGCACUUCAAGACCCAAAAUGGCAACCAGUGGGUAAGGUCAACAAACUUAGUUUCAAACCAACCUACAACGAGUUCAAAACGUGUCUCAGUAUCACUUGAACUUUUAAAACGACCUAAAAAUCUUACGUGUAGGUUCGUAACUCAUAACCUACCAAAAAAGUUCAACUAGUGUGAAAAAAGCACUACAAGACCCAAAAUGGCAACCAAGUGUGCAAGUGCAAUAAACUUAGUGCAAACCAAGCUAAAACGUGCUCAAAACGUGUCUAGGUAUUACUUGAGUUUUCAAAAUGACCUAGCAAAUCCUAAGUGUAAGUUUGUAACUCAUAAUCUACCAAAAAGGUUGAAAAAAGAAUUUCAAGAACAAAAAUGACAACCAAGUGUGUAAGUGCAACAAACGCAAUCUAGCCUAAAAUGUAAUCAAAAUGUGUGUAAGCAUCACUUGAAUUUUCAAAACGACCAAACAAUGCUUAAAAUGUAAGUUUGUAACUCACAACCUACCAAAAUUUCAAAAAGUGUGAAAAAAGUACUUCAAGACCCAAAACGGAAACGAAGUAUCUAAGUGCAACGAACUUAGUUUCAAGCCAUCCUAAAAAGAGGUCAAAACGUGUCUAAGCUUUCAAACCGACCAAACAAUACUCAAGCGUAAGUUCGUAACUCACAACCUACAAAAAUUUCAAAAAGUGUGAAAAAAAGCACUUCAAGACCCAACAUGUCAACCAAAUGUGUAACAAACAUAGUUCCAAACAAACACAAAAUGUGUUUAAAAGGACCUAACAAUGCUUAAGUGUAAGUUCGUAACUCAUAAACUAAAAAAAGUUCAAAAUGCUUGUGAAACAAGUAUGCAAGUGAAACAAACUUAGUCUUAAACAAAUCUAAAAAAUGUGAAAAACAAAACAAUGUUUAAGUGUAAGUUUGUAACUCACAACCUACCAAAAUUUCAAAAAGUGUGAAAAAAGCACUUCAGGACCCAAAAUGGCAACAAAGUGCGCAAAUGCAAUAAACUUAGUUCCAAACCAAUCUAAAAAGUGGUGAAGGUGUGUCUAAGUAUCACUUGGACUUUCAAAACGAUCUAGCAAAGCUUAAGUGUAAGUUGGUAACUCAUAGCCUACCAAAAAGUUCAAAAAGUGUGAAAAGAGCACUUUAAGACCAAAAUGACAACCAAGUGAGUAUGGUCAACAAACUUAGUUUCAAACCAACCUAAAACGACUUCAAAACGUGUCUAAGUAUCACUUGAACUUUCAAAAUGACCUAAGAAAGCUUACGUGUAGGUUCGUAACUCAUAAGCUACGAGAAAGUUCAAAAAGUGUGAAAAUAGCACUUCAAGAUGACAACCAAGUGUGUAAGUGCAACAAACUUAGUGUCAAACCAACCUAAAACGUGCUCAAAACGUGUCUAGGUAUUACUUGAGUUUUUAAAAUGACCUAGAAACUCUUAAGUUCUUCUGCCUUCUCCUUCAACGCUUAGACAGAUUGUUGAAAUUCUAUGUUUCUGCAAUGUUUCCCAGAACAUGAAACAUUCAUUAUGGAAAUAAGUACCAUGAAUACAAACCGUGAAGAAACAGUAAAAAACAGUCAAUACAAGAAGCAAGUGGAAGCUCAGAAGUUUCAUAUUUCAUCAGGAAGAUUUUCAUUUUGAUUGUCUAAUAUUCAACUCUAAUUACAUAAGGUGCAUUAGUGUAAGCAAAGACGGAAACAAAAGAAACAUAACUCACCUUACCGCCUUCUCUAAUUGAUCCAUUUGCAUCACGUACACAGUAAACCUGUUGCGUUUGGAACUGUUGAAAUUCAAUAAAAAGGAGUUAACAUCAUCUCAUCCUACAAAACAAAAUCCACAACUAUAGAACAAAGACUGUCAGAGCAUACAGCUACAAUGAUAAUGGGAGUGCUUCCCAUCAUCUUGGUCUCUCGUACCUCAACAUCUGAAAUGUGCAGAAUCUGUUUAUCAUAACAGAAAUAAUUACUUUUAAGUCAUAGAAAAAAGCCUUACAUUAAUUAGAAUACCAUCCACCUGUCAAGAUGUGUACAUACCUCAAACAAUAGCCAAAGCACAAGGGGUGUGUUUACGAGUGCUUGUAGCACAAGUAAUGCAAUUAUGAACCCUUCAAUAUAAAAAAAAUGAUUAAUAAUCAAAUACUCAGAUGUUUUCUUUCACUCUCGUACUAUUGUUUAAGUGCUUCUUGGUCAAGCACCUAGACCAAAAGGCUAUCUAUGAGCGUUUUCUAGUUUCUGAAAAAAGAAAUACUCUAAUGUGUGGUCGUACUAGCAUAAACAGUCAUAGAUAAUUAUGAGAUGAUAUCCUUCGUAAUGGGAUAAGAUAAUACUUACUAUUAUUUAGUAUUUUCUUUUAUUUAAUUGAAGAAAUAAUUGGAAAAUAAAACAGAAAGUACAAAAAUGAGUAAUAACCCCCAGUAAAGACCGGUAUGAUUCAAUUCAACAUUUUGUUUGGUCUCUCGACAUGAUGAUAAUUUUUACCUAGAGUGCUUCUAGGCCAUAAUGCAAAUAUUAACACGUGACAGAGUUCCCACAUAUGACUUUAUUCUCUCAUUGUUGCCCAUUAUGUAAAGUUGUCGAUGAAACACCAGCCAGUUUAUCAUUUGCCAUUUUGCUGAAAAAUUUAGGAAGCAGAUCAUCUCUCCUUUGGUUAAUCUGCCGCCCUACCAAACAAGAUUAUGAACCUUCUUUUAUGCACCCUCACUGGCACCCUUUACUGACUUUAAAAGAAUUACGUGGAUGCAUCUUAUUCGGAAAUUUUUACAGAUUCGCAUGGAAGGAACAGGAACAAUCGCCUCCUUAGUGAAAAGGCAGGCCUUAAGAUAGGUUUCUUAUUCCUUUUAAAAUAUAAUCUAUCCUGCUAUGACUUAGUGCAAUUUUUCAUGUUUCUAUAGCUCUUCCAAUCUCUAUUCUUGCAUCUCUUCUGACUGAUUGGAGAAAUCUCUUGUAAACUCUAUUCGCGUGGGUGUUUCACCAAACCUUUUGUAAAUUUCAUACAUCAAUAAAAUUACUUCUUAUAAAAAAAAAUAAGGGGAAGAAACUACGUUUUAGAGACAAAUGGCUCUAAAGCACACACAAACAUUCUCCAUCUCACUAUCUAUCUGCCCUAUUUCCAAUUUAAUCCAGCAUUCAUUUGGGGUUAUUGUAGGUUCAUAUUUAGAAAUAGUCAUUCAUGUUGUGAUGCAAAAUCCCUUUUAUGUAUCUAAAACUAAAAUCACGAAAAUCAUCGUGGACAUGUAGCACAACAAACUAAAUUUCCACGGGAAGCCUUUGCUAACAAAAUGGUAGACAAUAAUUACUCAAGCAAGAGAGAAGGACUAUAAUUAAUUAACAGAAGUACAAAUCAAUCUAGGUGCACAACCACCAAGCAAGAGAGAAGGAACAAUAAACUUCAAUAACAAAAGAAAGGUAGUAUCCAGACUAUCCUUACUUGUUAUCGAAGAAGAUACCUUGGCUUCGGUAAGCCCGAUGCUCUGUCAUACAACGUUCAUUUACCUCAGUACUGCAAUGUUUCUUCAAAGUUUGGGAAUCUACCUAAAACAUAAAUAUAUAUUACAACUUGAAAACCUCCAUGUCAGAAACUUUACUUUAAUUAUCAAACUAGAUGCUAUGCAAGAAUUAGUUAGCAGAAAUACAACAUAAAUAGUAAUGAUAUUCUUUGGGGAGUGGAUAAAAGUAUCUUUCAUCUUCGAAAUAAGCUUAGCAGUUAGCAUUAACCUUUAUAUUUUGAUUACUUCUUAAACUUCAUCCACGAAAUAUGGUAAAGAGAAAGACCUAAUCCAUAAUGCUAAAGAGGAAAAGACCAAGUCAGAUUCCUUUAUUCAAACAGGUUAGUAUCACAGCUCCAAAGGAAAAAACUUACGGAUCUCUACGA